CUUCAUUCCCCCAACGUGGAUCCCUAAACUCCUGUCUUUGGCCGUCUCCGAUCCUGGAAAAUAUCCUUAAUUGAAGAUCCAUAAUUAUUAAGUUCUAUCUAUGCAUUCAUGGCUCUAGCCAUUCUAUAUAUGGAAUAAGACCCAUGCUAUAUCUAUUAAUUGUAUGUGUGUGUUCCUUCUGCCUAUAUCUAUAUAUGUUGUGCGUGCAUUUGAAAAAACAAUGCAUGGCAUGCAUAUUUGUGCUGUGUUAAUGCCUACGUGCAUCUUUGUCUCAUCAAUAAAAUAUAUUAUAUGUCUUUGUGCUUCAUAAAUAUGUGCAUGGGCCUAUUACUAUGAAGCAAAGUUGUAGAAUCAACUCAGACUGGAUUGAUCCUGAAUCAGUGUCUAAACCAAUUUGAGUUAGUAUUUGAAUUACAAUUCAUGCUGCUCAAAUCCACCAACGUUGACCACAUUGGGUUUGGUUAAGAUCGGUGACCCAGCCCAGGUUGAGGAAGCUUUUUAAAUGUUUAAUUGAUAUGCUAUUUAAUAUAAUUUAUAUGUAUUUUGUUAUUAUUUUUAUAUGAAGUAGAUUCUUAUGAGUUUACGAGUCAAAUUCAUUAGUCGAAUUUUUAGAACUUUCACGAGUUUAUGCAGACUCGAUCGAGUUUGAUAACCUUAGUGUCAAGUUUACUUAUGGGAUGAGCUCAUGACCACCCAUUAGUGAAGAUCUCUCUCGAUGUUUUAUCCCUCUCAAUUUACCAACAAUUAUACUUCUCCUAAAAUAAAAUAAUAAAUUAUAAUUCACCUUUAGUAAAAUUUGAAUAAGAAAUAUAUUAAAAAUUAAUAUACUUGCAAUCUUUCAAAAUAUUAUAUGAUCUUAAUAGGUUUAAAUAUGUUUUUAGUCCCCGAAAGUUGUUAUUUUUAAUUUUAAUUCUUAUAAAUUUUUUGUUUAUUUUUAGUCCUUAUAUUGUAAGUUUAUGUUUUUUCAAUUUUAGUCCCUUUAAUAUUUUAAUUUAUUCAUUUGUAAACUGCAUAAGUUCAUGCUUAAUUACAAUGACCAAAAUUAUAUUGUAAAAUUACAAAUUUACAGGGACUAAAAAUUAAAAAAAAAUUACAAGGAACAAAAUUGAAAAAACACAAACUUACCAAAACUAAAUAUGAAUAAUUUUUUCACAAAGAUCAAAAUUUAAAAAAAAAUACAAACUUACAAAAAUAAAAAUGUAUUUAAGUUAUAAUCAAUGAUAUUGAGUUAAAAUCAUGAUUUAGACAUUCUUAAAUCAUCUUUUCAUGUCUGAUAUCAGAAAAAAAAAUUAAAAAAAUAUUGUUUAGAUUCUUUGAAUGAAAAUUGAUUUUGAGGGUGUAAUGACCAAAAUGGAUUUUAAUGUCUAUGUACACUCAAUUUUCUAUUAUAAUUAGUUAUAUAUAUAUAUAUAAUUAAAAUUAAAUAGACAUAAUUAAAAUUAAGACAAUAUGUGUAUAAUAUGCUAACUUUUGAAAUAGAACAACAUCUCUUAUAAAAAUAAUUAAAUUGAAUGAAAUAGAUAAUAAAAGUAUUAACUCGACAUAAGCAUCUUAAAAAUUGUUUUUUAUAACACACAUUCUAAGAUGAUUAUAAGGAAUCGUAUUAAAAGAAUAAAAAAUAUUUAUCAAAAAAUCACUUGGAUAGGAUUGGAUGAAUUAAAAAAUUAAAUAAAUAGAUAACAAUCUAUCUAUUCUCAUUUUCAAAUUUAAUGGAUCAUCCAAUUAACACUAUAGAAUAAAACAAGUUAAACAUAAUUUUUUUUAUAUUUCAAUUUUCUUUAAAUUUAUUUUAAAAAAUAUUUUUCCAUAUAUUAUUUUUAGUACUUAUUCAUAGGAGUCUCUAUCAGAUGGAAUAAUUCAUGUACUUGAAUUGACCAAAACCCUUUAAUAUGAAUUUUGUUAUUAUUUGGGUAGAAGUCAAAUCUAUAUUUCAAAUAAAUAAGAAAGUGUUAAUAACCGUUAUUUAAUUUUAAAAAGUUUUAGGUAUUAAUUUGGUAAAACAAAAAAAAUAUUUCUUAAAUGUUAAUUUUAGAAAGAAUAGUCCAAACGAACACUUUCGGUUCUUUAGUCAUGUAGAUUAAUUUACCACAAUGACAACUCACAAAUUUAUUCUGUGGAUUUCAUACAUAAAUUAAAACUCCGGAAGAAAAAAAAAUAUGGCAAUGAUAAUUGAUAUGCAGAACUAGAACUAUUAAUUAGUGUUAUUGACCUAAGUUUUAGCCCAUGUUUGCAAAUUGUAUGAGUUUGCUCAAUUUUACAAAUAAUACUAUAGUUUUUUAUAUCUCUUAUUGUUGUGAUUAGUAACAAAAGAUAAAAAAGCUAUAGAUUAAGGUUCUUCAAAAUAAAUUGAAUAAGUGGAUAUUGAGAAUUUCUUUAAACUCUUCGCAUUAUAUUCCGUGUAUUUUUUUCUCAAUUAUUUCCACUUUCACAAUUUAAUUACCACGCAAAAAAUUGGGAAAAGAAACACUUGACCCCAUGUAUAUGUUUAUCUCUAAUUAACCCAAAUUAUACCCAUUAAUUAUUGUGCUGCAAACUAGACCAAAAAAUCGUAAGAAUAAAAAGUUAAAAAGGAUAUAUAAUGCAAGCAUAUGUAGAUUGAGAAAGAAGAAAAAGAAAACAGUGUAUUUGUAUAUUUUUCAAAAUCGAACAGCUAGCUAAAGGUUGGAAAUAAAAUUUAGAGUAAAGUAUACAGGCACUUACUGAGAUUUCGUUAAAUUUCUCUUGAUACUCCUUAUUUUAAUAAUUUUUUUAAAAAUAUAUAUAUAAAUUUGUUAAGAUUUCCUAUAUUAAACAUGUUUAAUUUUAUUAUUUAUUUAUAUCUAGUUAGGAUUAAUUUGACUUGUUGGUUCAGUUUAAAGUCAAGAUACAUAAAAAAUAAUAUAUAUAUAUAUAAAGCUAUUAUGAACCAUCAAAUUUUCAGCCAACGAAAAAUUAAAGUUGACCAACCUGGUCUAGUUUCACAUUCUAGCUUAUGCGCUGUCCAAUUUGCCACGUACCUCGACCUGGAAAUAAUUGCACCAAUUGUCUCUAUGCAUUUUAUUUAAGUAUGCAAGAAAGGCAUAUGUCACUUUGUUUGCGCAAUGUGAAGAGUGAUCGAAGACAAUACAUUCUUAUUUAUUAGUAAGACUUUAAUUAAAUUAAAAUCGACUAGAAAAUUCCAAGACUACAAGUGUGAAAGAGAAUAAAAUUAGAAGUUAUCAGCCCAAAUAACAUUUCUGAUUUGGUAUAUGCUAAAAGUUGUUUCUUCAUAAACAUCGAUCCAUAACUUGUGGAUCCCAUGUAUUUUCUUAUUCUUUAAUUUACUAGUUUGCUUAAGUUUAAUGGUCUAUUUAUACUAAUUAAGUUCGCUUGAUUAAUUUUUAAAUUUGUUUAAUCAAAUAUCCAUCAAUUGACCAAUUACUUUUUCUAUCUAUUUUUUUUUAUAGGCAAUGCAAUAUAAUUUUAUUGAAUGUGGAUAUAUUUUAUUGAUGCAUAUAUACAAUAAUCGAAAGCAAAUGAAGCACAAAGAGAUACAAUAUAUUUUAUUGAUGAGAGAAAGAUGCACGUAGGCAUUAACACACCACAAAUAUGCAUGCCAUGCAUUGUUAUUUCAAAUGCACGCACAACAUAUAUAGACAUAGGCAGAAGGAACACACACAUACAAUUAAUAGAUAUAGCAUGGGUCUUAUUCCAUAUAUAGAAUGGCUAGAGCCAUGAAUGCAUAGAUAGAACUUAAUAAUUAUGGAUCUUCAAUUAAGGAUAUUUUCCAGGAUCGGAGACGGCCAAAGACAGGAGUUUAGGGAUCCACGUUGGGGGAAUGAAGGCAUAGGUGUCACUAAGAACCUUGACAGAUGCGCCCUUAACCCUAGGCCAAGAAUGCACUAGGCGAUUGAGAGCAAGAAAGAAGAGGGGUGGUGAAACUUUAUUCCAAUCCUCCUUAAUGGCGCUGUAGCCAAGCAAGAUCUUAGAGUCAUAAUAAUCAUACUCUUCCACUAUCUUCUCAACCUGGCGCACCAAGAUUUCAACUGAUCUGUUAGGAUCUUUAGGUUCGAAAUCAACGAAGCACUGAAACACAACAGUUCCAAUCCAAGAAGUAUCAAUAGAUCGGUACAAGGGCAAGUAGAAAGCCUCAUUGGUGGCAGCAUCUGGAGCUAAGGAAGCCUCAAACCCAGUGGUGCAUAGAGCUUCCCUUAGGCCCCUUAUGAGAUCCUUAAAGCAGUUAACAAACAAUUUUUUGUUGCACAGGAUUGUGGUGUAGUUAACAUCGAUUCCAUCGAUGUGGUACUCGUUGAUCAUGUGGUGGAGUGUGGUUGUGGCAUUGAGAACCCAAUCAUCGGCACCACCAGCAGCAACUUUGAAGGGGUCAUCUCCUCCGAUGCUGACAAACACUUUGACUGGCAGAUUCGAGGCAGCACAAUUUAGCUUGAACUGCUCGAUAAGGUGGGGAGUGACAUUGUCUGUGUCCCACUUAGGUUCGAAGUUUCCUUUACCAGAUUCUCCGGCAUAUGCCAGACACAGUUGGUACUCGGUAACAUCAGUAAAGAUGUCACACCUUGACAUAAAGGAAGCAUCAUGAUGGUAUUCACGGAUCACUUUAUUGUUGGAGUCGCAGGUUUCUGCCAUUAUAUUUUAUAUGGGCUGUUGCUACUGCUAUUGCUAUUGCUUUUCUUUUGUGGCUUUGGUUGGUGUGAUUAUAUCGGACACCACUCCUUCCUCUUAUAUAGAUGAUUGGAUCAAAUUUUUAAAUAUCUGUUAAAUCAUACUACAAUAUUUCUAGUUAAUUAUUGUUUUAUGUGUGUGAACAUGUAACUAACCUUCUUUGGAUAAACAUUUUAAUUAAUCAAAGUCUUCUUAAUUAAAUCAUCUGAUUCAGGUCUUACUAUAUUAAAUAAGAAUAAUAAUAAUCAUUUCGAAAAAUUAAAGAAUAAGAAAAUACAUGGGAUCCACAAGUUAUGGAUCGAUGUUUAUGAAGAAACAACUUUUAGCAUAUGCAUGGGAUCCAAAGUGACAUAUAUGCCUUUGUUUUCACAUUGCGCAAACAAAGUGACGUAUGCCUUUGAUUUUUAUGUGAAACUAGACCUGCAGGUUGGUCAACUUUAAUUUUUCUUUGGCUGAAAAUUUGAUGGUUCAUAAUGGCUUUAUAUAUAUAUAUUUUUAUGUAUCUUGGCUUUAAACUGAACCAACAAGUCAAAUUAAUCCUAACUAAAUAUAAAUAAAUAAUAAAAUUAAACAUGUUUAAUAUAGGAAAAAUUAAGAAAUUUAUAUUAAUAAAAAACAAUUAAAAUAAGGAGUAUCAAGAGAAGUUUAACGAAAUCUCAGUAAGUAUUUGUAUACUUUACUCUAAAUUUUAUUUCCAACCUUUAGCUAGCUGUUCGGUUUUGAAAAAUAUACAAAUAUACUGUUUUCUUUUUCUUCUUUCUCAAUCUACAUAUGCUUGCAUUAUAUAUCCUUUUUAACUUGUUUUUUAUUCUUACGAUUUUUUGUUCUAGUUUGCAGCACAAUAAUUAAUGGGUAUAAUUUGGGUUAAUUAUAGAUAAACAUAUACAUGGGUAUAAUUUGUACAUCAUGACAUAAUACUCUGCUGCUUUUAUCUCUGAUACUUCAACAUCAAGAUGUGUGUUUAGAUUGAUGUGUGAACUAUUUGCCUGUGAUUUAUAGGCUUGGAAACUUAUGCCUGUGAUUCUUACAUUGAAGGCUUGAAUCACAAGAUGUGUGCUUAGAUUCAUGUGUGAACUAUUUGGUGCAGGUUGGACUCUGAUUGCUCCUUUGUCCACUUGGUUCCAAUGUUGUAAUUAGAACAGCAUUGUCCUUUGUCCACUAAAUAGUUUUACUUUUACCUAAUUACUUUUCUUUUUCUUUUCAUUUAAAGCUGCGAGAGUACAUUGAUGAUCCUGAAUAUUAUAUUAAUAUUCAAGUAAGUAGCUAGCAAUUUACUGAAAAUAUAUCAAUUGGUAUAUGGUGAAUGACAUGAAAUUCUAUUGUAAUUAAUAUUAAAUUUUAAUUUAAUAAUUAAUAUUUAAAUGAUAGAUUAAAUAUAAAUAAUACUUAAACCUCUUAUUUUUAUUUAAUCUAUCAUUUAAAUAUUAUUUAUUAAAUAAAUUUUAUCAUUAAUAUUAAUUAUAGUAUUGAUAAUAUUGUAAUUAUAAAUAUUGAUUUAUUGAUUAUUAGCAAUAUUGAUAAUAUUAAAAAUAUAAAAAAUGACCAUUAAUAAAUCAAUUUUUAAUUACAGGUUAUUAAAUAUUUAACAUCAUUUCUUAACUGAACACUGAUGUGAAAAAACAAUAUUUUACAUCGUUCACUAAGAUAACACCGAUGUAAAAUGUUUAAUUUCUACAUCGUUUAUUAACUGAGCACCGAUGUGGAAAAACACUAUUUUACAUCGUUCACUAAGAUAACAUCGAUGUAGAAGGUCUAAUUUCUACAUUGUUCCUUAACUGAGCACCAAUGUGGAAAUGCGCUAUUUUACAUCGUUCACUAAGAUAACACCGAUGUAGAAGGUCUAAUGUCUACAUCGGUGGUCAGGAAAGCACUGUUGUAGAAAACGUUGUCUUUCUACAACGGUGGUUUGGGGACCGAUGUUGAAACUUCUAACUUUCAACAACAUCCUAUUCAACAUCGGUUGAUCACCGAUGUAAAAUGUGGUUUUCCACCGAUGUGAAAACUAUGUUUUCUAGUAGUAUUUGUCUCAUCAAUAAAAUAUAUUGUAUCUCUUUGUGCUUCAUUUGCUUUCGAUUAUUGUAUAUAUGCAUCAAUAAAUAUAUUAUCAACUAAAUUAAUCAUUUCGAUUAAUCUUAAUGAAUUAGGUAAUUUGAAUGACCAUUCAUGCUACUCAAAUCCAUCAACGUUGACUUGAUUGGGUUUUGUUAAGAUCGGUGACCCAACCCACGUUGAGCAAGUUUUUUAAAUGUUUAAUUGGUAUGCUAUUUAAUAUAAUUUAUAUGUAUUUUGUUAUUAUUUUUAUAUGCAGUAGACUCUUAUUAUUUAUUAGUCGAGUCUUUAGACCAAAAUGGAUUUUAAUGACUAUGUACACUCAAUUUUCUAUUAUAAUUAGUUAUAUAUAUAUAUAUAUAAUUAAAAUUAAAUAGACAUAAUUAAAAUUAAGACAAUAUGUGUAUAAUAUGCUAACUUUUGAAAUAGAACCACAUCUCUUAUAAAAAAAUUAAAUUGAAUAAAAUAGAUAAUAAAAGUGUUAGCUCGACAUAGGCAUCAAACAUAAGUUUAUCUAAAAUAGACAAAAUGCAUUCAAAAUUAAACAAAUAUAGCAAGACUUUCAAUUUACAUAUAUAUAAUUAUAUUUUUAAAAUCAAUAAAUAACAAACAUAUGCAUGAGUGUAUUGAUGAGAGGGUAGGGUAAAUUAGGCAAAAAUUCACUAAAAUUCAUUUUUGGUAGAAGUCAAAGUUACUUGCUUCAACUCCACCAUAAUUUUUCAUCAAAAGAUUCAACUAAGAUAAUCAAACAUGCAAAAUUUUUGUCAAAAACAAAUUUGACACACCUCACCAUAAUAAACCAUGAUUUUGAGGUCAAUCCAAACACACUACACUGAGUUAUAAAUCCAAGAGUGUGUUUUCAUCUACAUGAAACAUCACAAUGCUAGUGAUUAUGUUGGAUGGGGGUGAGGGGAUAGGAGUCAUUUUAUUUAAUGACUGAAUUUUGAAAUUGUCUAGUAGCAUUAACGAAACACAAAUGGAUCCUCUGCAAUGACAUUAAUUACUACUAUGGAUAAUUCUAACUUUUUAUGACAAUUGACUUAUAUUAUUUCCAUACGAAAAAAAAUCAACAAUAUAAUUUGGAACAUGACUAAAAUAACGGGGAUCAACAGGAGAAUUUAGAGCUCAAGCAAGACAGUGAGUCACCGAGUUCACUUGUCUCCUGACAAAACAAUCUCAAAAGUUUGGUAGAUCAUGUAGCAUAGUCAGAUAGUUUCAUAAGAUCUCACCAUAUUCUAAUUUACCUAAGUGAUAGUUAUACACUCCAUUCUCCACUUGAAGGCAAUCAGAUUCAAUAAUGAUAUCAUCAAUCCCAGAUCUUUGAGCAUUGUAAGGCUACCAACAUGGCUAGGGCCUUCCUUUCAUGAGACCCAUUUGACCCUAUUUAAGCUCCAAGGAUGCAAAUAAAAGGUAGAUAAUUGGUUGGGGGACUAUUUAGGGUUUGAGGUUGCAGGUGCAAAGCUCUCCCUUACCCUCCAUGGCUUUCCUACCAUUUCUCAUUAUCUAUUUUCUUCUUGUAGUUAGGUUUACCCAUUUUAUGGGUUGAUGUAGUUGAAUCCAUCCAGAUGUUUACAUUUUGAUUAUUAAUCUAUGUUUAUUUUUCAUUAUUGAGUGUUAUCCUCUAUGCAUUAAUGUUUGCUUUGGCUUGACCACCCUUUUCUUGAUGUUGUGGUUUGAAUUGUCAGUGGAAAAUGUUUUUGAAUUUAGAAAUAAAGAGGAACACUUAAUGUGUUUUGUGUCUAGAGAUAGAACAAAGCUUGUCAUUUGGGUGGAUUAGUCAAGGGAUUGAUAGUUUGAUCAAGGGACUUAGAUUCUUUCCAUCCGAGGGACCAGGGUUUGAGUAUUUUUGUGAGUUGAUGAUUAUAAUUGGGCUUUGAACUAGAUUAGUGACCUUUGUUAGCAUGAGGAGGUGGUUUAGUGAAAUCAACCCUAACUCUUUUUUUAUUCAUUGUUAUUUUACUUCUUUUUAUCGCACUCCAAGUGUUUUUAAAAGUUUCCCAAAAAGAGUUUCUUGUUCUUUUUCUCUUGAACUUUAUGUUUAUUUCAUUUCUUGCUAUUUAUAUUGUUACAAUCAAAUUCUAAUUGUUGUUUCUGAAAGCCAUAAUUAAUCAAUAUAUCUAUUUUUUCGAGUAUUACGCAAGUCCGUGUGAAUACAAGAAUGGCAACAACAAAAGAGUGAAGGUUCGAGAGAAUGAGAGGGUUCGAAAAUGGGUUAGUGCCAGAGGUUUAGAAAUAUUAGAAAAAAUUAAGUAACAUCAGUUUUAUCUAAAAAUCAAUGUUAUAUACUAAUUUGACAAAUCGGUUUUCAAAACCGAUGUUAGCUAAUUACUAACAACAUCGGUUUUCAAAAAAUCGAUGCUAAAAUUGUACUAGCAACAUUAGUUUUCAAAAAACCGAUGUUAAGUUUUUGGUAGUAACAUUGGUUUUCGAAAAUCGAUGUUAAGAAGCUUCAGGUAUUUACAAAAAUGUCACCGCAUAUAAUUUAACAUCAAUUUUUCUUGUAACCGAUAUUAAAUUGGCGAUGUUGAAUGCAUAUUUUGUUAUAGUGUGGGUUAUCUUCAAAAUCUAACCCUUUAUGUACACAUAUUUAUGGGUCAUAUGGUCCAUGGACAUUGCCUUUUUAAUUAAGGGAAUGUUAAUAUGAAAUUACACGAUAGUAAGUCCUUGAUAAUAUUGAUUGGAUUAUGUUAACAUAAACUAUAUUCUUUAAUCUUCACAAAAAUGACAAGUAUAUAUGUAUUAAGAAAGUCGACGUCUAUUCAGCCCUAUAAAGGGAUAAAGUCCACUCAGUCUUCAAUAUGAUCGAAGGGUAUUCGUCCAUACAAUACACAUGCCCUCUAAUCCUCAAUUCAUUAAGAGGACAAAUUAGAUUACUAUUAGCCAAUAUCAUACAAAGCAUAUUCUUUUCUCUAGUAUUUUAGAGUGUGUUAUGUAUUAGCGGGUACUAAUGACCAUUUGGUCUUUUGUAGGACCAAUCAUUCAUCAAAGGGUACUCGUCCAUAUGGUACCUUGCUCCCUAAGCCAAUAAGUCCUUAAGAAAAUGAAGAAUCUUGAUGUAAUUGUCUUAUGCCAAAAGGUUUUCAUCCCUUCUUAUGAUUGUUGUACUCAAAGGUGCUUGAUUUUCUCUAGAUGUCUCACGUGUUGUAUCUGGCGGCGUGUUAGGAUGUGUUGCUUCAUUUUGCAGGUAUAAUUAUGAUCGUUGUAAGUUUAGGACAUGAAGCGACGCUUUUUUUCUAGACCAUUGAUCUCACAUGAUCCAAUGUUUGGGAAUAAUUGCAAUAUUUGAGCCUUCAUAGGCCCAAACUCUAUGUAUACCCCUUUCUCGUCCUUCUCCUUCCACACUUCAUUUUCUCAAACUUCAUCUUUCUUGUUUAUGUAGCCAAGAAGCCAAGCACUCGUUUCUUUUUAGGAUGUAGUUAUUCGUUUACUCAUUUACAUUAAUUACUUUUUCAUCUAUUUAUUUCCUAUUUUUCUAUUUAAUUAAAUGUCAACUUUAUCGUGAAGAUUAUUUAAUUAAAUGUCACAUUUGAUUUUCACACAUGUUUUAAAAUAAUUUAUAAGUGGUUGAGUAAGAUACAUGUUGUAAACCUCCUGAUAAAUGUCUUUGAUUCCUACAAAUAAAAAAGUCACAAUUAUUAUUUUUAUUUCCUUUCCAAUAAUUUUUUCAGAAAUUUUUUAUUUAUUCUAUGAUUAUAGUAAUUACAUGCUCAAAUAUGAACAUUUGAGUGUUUAAUUCUAUUAAUUUGUUUAAAAAUUAUAAUAAUAAUAAUUUUAAUACUAUUAUCACAAUUUUAACUUUAUUAGUCUUUUACUUAGUGAAUUUUAUAAUCUAUGAAAAUAUUGUGCAUGUGUAUUUCUAGAAGUAGACGGGAAAGAAUGUUUCUUAGAACAAAUAGACACUUGUAACUUAUAGGAAAAACUAUAUAGUAUAAAAAUAAAAAAUAAAAAUACACUCAUAUUUUUUUAAAAUAUUUAUGAAUAAAAUCAUAAAAAAUAUUUCAUACAUUUACAAUAUCGUCAAAAUAAAAAAAAAUCAAAUUAUGUUGUUUCUCCAAUAAUAAUAGAUAAAUAAAAACACACACACUCAUAUAUAUAUAUAUAUAUAUACAUACUAGUAUUAGAGCCCGUGCAAUGCACAUGCAAACUGAUCUAUUGUAAAUUAUUACAAAUUGUAAUUAUUAUAUGAUUGAAUUUAAAGAAAAACUAAUUUUACAUUGUAUUGCUAGGUUACAGUUGAGACUACUAAUCCUACAUCAAAACAUGCUUCUUCGAUAUUAUUGUGUUACAGUGAUAUAGAAUAACAUUUCUUCUUUUAAACUUUAUUUGUUUAAAAAGGGUGUUCCCAAGAGGACUGAGGAGAUUGAGUUUGUUGAUACUGCACAUUUUCUUGAGCUUUCAACACCAGAAAUGUUGCAUGGACUAUAGGUACCAUGAUCUUGUUGUUAUUUCUUCUGAUAUUUAAUAUAUUACCUUGAAUUUAAGCUUCUUUGCACAAAUUACAUACAAAUGCAAUUGUUGUAUUAACUUGUUUUACAAAAUUUGUGCUUAUACUCCAAAAAUGCAAAAUAACAAUUCAAUAUGUGUAAAACUAUUUUGAAUAAUUGAAGUACUAAUACAUGAGUAAUAUACUUUACCAAUUGAAGACCAAAGUUAAGCUGAUUGUUGAGGAUGUAUUUCAUAUUCCGCAUUAUGAAAAUUGUAUCUAUAGUUGACAUAUUUCUGUCCGUAAAUUAAGUAUAAAUUUUCUCAUUGGCUUUAAAUAUAAAUUUCAUAUUUUUACAUAAUUUACUGGGAGAAGAAGAGAAAAGAAAAACUCAACCUCAUAAUUUUACUUAUAAAUUCUAGACAUUAAUUUGACUUAUACUUGAUAUUUUAAAUAAAAUAAAAUAUUCAAUGAAUUAGUUAAGUGAAAAGAAAAUAAGCAAGAAAUAAGUUAAUUUUAGAUGUUAAUUUUAUUUAUACUUUUAUGUUAAAUAAAAUCAGAUAUUCAAUAAAUUAGUUAAGUGAUAAGAUACUAAGCAAGAAAGAAAAAUAAUUAUUUACACAAUUCUCAUUCAUUAUAUUUUAUUCAUAUUCUCUAUAAUAAAUAACACAAAGUAAUUAAAAAAUUAUUUAAGCUAAAAAACCAUUUAUAUUAUCAUAAUUUCAUUGAUUCAAAUUUCUCUUAGUUAUGGAAUUAUAUAUGUAUUAAAUAGGAAAAAAUUUACUCCUCAGUAAUUAAAUAUAGUUUUUUUGAAUAACAAUUCAAUAUGUGUAAAACUAUUUUGAAUAAUUGAAGUACUAAUACAUGAGUAAUAUACUUUACCAAUUGAAGACCAAAGUUAAGCUGAUUGUUGAGGAUGUAUUUCAUAUUCCGCAUUAUGAAAAUUGUAUCUAUAGUUGACAUAUUUCUGUCCGUAAAUUAAGUAUAAAUUUUCUCAUUGGCUUUAAAUAUAAAUUUCAUAUUUUUACAUAAUUUACUGGGAGAAGAAGAGAAAAGAAAAACUCAACCUCAUAAUUUUACUUAUAAAUUCUAGACAUUAAUUCAAUAUACUUUACCUUGAAUUUACUUGUUGUUAUUUCUUCUGAUAUUUAAUAUAUUACCUUGAAUUUAAGCUUCUUUGCACAAAUUACAUACAAAUGCAAUUGUUGUAUUAACUUGUUUUACAAAAUUUGUGCUUAUACUCCAAAAAUGCAAAAUAACAAUUCAAUAUGUGUAAAACUAUUUUGAAUAAUUGAAGUACUAAUACAUGAGUAAUAUACUUUACCAAUUGAAGACCAAAGUUAAGCUGAUUGUUGAGGAUGUAUUUCAUAUUCCGCAUUAUGAAAAUUGUAUCUAUAGUUGACAUAUUUCUGUCCGUAAAUUAAGUAUAAAUUUUCUCAUUGGCUUUAAAUAUAAAUUUCAUAUUUUUACAUAAUUUACUGGGAGAAGAAGAGAAAAGAAAAACUCAACCUCAUAAUUUUACUUAUAAAUUCUAGACAUUAAUUUGACUUAUACUUGAUAUUUUAAAUAAAAUAAAAUAUUCAAUGAAUUAGUUAAGUGAAAAGAAAAUAAGCAAGAAAUAAACCAAACAAAUAUUUCCAUUAAUCUCAUUAGUUAUAUUUUAUUCAUAUUCUUCCGUAAAAAAAUAUUUUAUUUGUAUUCUCCACAUUAAGUAAAACAAAGUAUUAAAAAAAAUAGUUAAGUUAAAAAAACCUUAUAUGAGUAAGAAUAUAAUAAAUAAGAAAUACAUCAUUUGCCUAUAAUUUGAUUUUAGCUACUAAUUUUAUUUAUACUUUCUAUGUUAAAUAAAAUCAGAUAUUCAAUAAAUUAGUUAAGUGAUAAGAUAGUAAGCAAGAAAGAAAAAAAAUUAUUUACACAAUUCUCAUUCAUUAUAUUUUAUUCAUAUUCUCUAUAAUAAAUAACACAAUGUAUUCAACAAAUUAGUUAAGCUAAAAAAAAAAAUUUAUAGUAUCAUAAUUUAAUUGAUUCAAAUUUCUUAGUUUUGUAAUUAAAUAGAAAAAAAUUUACUCCUCGGUAAUUAAAUAUAGUUUUUUUCUUUAAAAAAAUAUUUUUCUUCUUUUUUAUUUUAUAUAUAAUUUCUAUCUUUGACAAAAAAUUUAUUCUCAUAUAUUAAGUAAUGAUAUUCUUACUUGCUUUUAAGAAUCAUCUUUAUAUUUUAUAUUUAUUUUUUAUCUUUAGUAAAAAAGUUACUCCCCUUAAAUUAAAUAUAAAUUUUUUUAUUUGGUUUUAAAAUGAUCAUCUUUAUAUUAGGAUAGUAUUUGAGUUCAAAAAUAAUUUCUGAUCAGACUUUAUUUACCCUCAGUUGAACUCCAGAUUAGUCAAGACUCAUUUCCUCUUAUGAAUUGGAGGAUUAAUACCAGAAAAAAGUUAAAUUAAUACUUUAUAUUUGAAUAUAUAAUUUCUAACUUUAGUUGAAAUAUUCCUUUCAGUAAAUUAAGUAUAGAUUUUCUUACUUGCUUUUAAAAUAAAUUUAAUAUUUUUUUUUUAUUUUAUAUGUUAUUUCUAUCUUUAAGAAAAAAUUUCAUCUCGACAAAUUAAGUAUAAAUUUUGUUACUUGUCAUCUUAAAAAUAUCAUUUUCAUAUUUUUUAAAUAAUUCACCGGGAGAAGAAGAGGAAAGAAAAAUCUCACCUCAUAAUUUUACAUAUAAAUUUUAGACAUUAAGUUGUAGUUAUACUUGGUAUUUUAAAUAAAAUAUAAUAUUCAUUGAAUUAGUUAAGUGAAAAGACAAUAAGAAGGAAAUAAACCAAAAAAACAUUUGCAUUAAUCUCAGUAGCUAUAUUUUAUUCUUAUUCUACCUGAAACAUCACAAUGCUAGUGAUUAUGUUGGAUGGAGGUGAGGGGGUAGGAGUCAGUUUUAUUUAAUGAAUGAAUUUUGAAAUUCUCUAGUAACAGUAGUGAAACACAAAUGGAUCCUCUGCAAUGAUGUUAAUUACUACUAUAGAUAAUUGUAACUUUUUAUUAUAUUCUAAUUUUUAUGACAACUGACUUAUAUUAUUUCAAUACGAAAAAAAUCAGCAAUACAAUUUGGAACAUGUCUAAAAUAAUGGGGAUCAACUUGAGAAUUCAGAGCUCGAUCAAGAGAGUGAGUCACCGAGUUCGCUUGUCUCCCUACAAAACAAACCCAAAAGUUUUGUAAAUCACGUAGCAUAAUACGACAGUUCGAUAAGAUCACACCAUAUUUCGAUUUAUCUGAGCGACAGUUAUAUACUUCAUUCUCCACUUGAAGGCAAUCAGAUUCAAUAAUGAUAUCAUCAAUCUCCAAAUCUUUGAGCCAUUGUAAGGCUACCAACAUGGCUAGGGCCUUCCUUUCAUGAAUCAACAGUUUAAACGGGGAAGUGUGAGAUAAAGCCAUGACAAAUUGACCUCUAUCAUCCCUGAUAAACACAACCAACUUAAAAGAAUUUUCCUCUUUGACAAAAGCAACACCAAUAUUGCAUUUUAAAGUCCCUAGAGGAGGAGGUUCCCACCUUACUACCAUCAGAUUUGCAGUGGGUCUUAAGUAUGCCUUCUCAAUCACUCGAACUUUUCUCCAAUUGUCAAAAAACUCCUAAGCUUGAUGUACCUUAGGCUCAGCGCGCAAUCACUUACAACAAUUCUACUUUACAUAUAGGCUUCGUGCGACAUGCUAGGCUAAGUGUGCAGACAAUUAUGCAGAAACAACAGUGCAAUGCAUUUGACCCUAUUUAAUCUAUGUUUAUUGUUCAUUAUAAAAACCGUCUUUGAUCCCAAAGGUCAUUUUUAAUUAUUUUAUUUAUUUUCUCUUUCAUUAAUUCACAACAACAACACGAUGAACCUAAAGCUAAAAAGCUUCGAGAAAUGGGAUGCUCCUGAGGAGAACGGCAGAGAAGGAUGCAGUUCUUUUCGGAGAAAGAAAAUCAAGAAACACACCCUGGAGAAGGGAACGCUCUAGAGAAGAACCCUCACUGUGUCGCCAUGGUGUUGCCAGAGAAGGACGUAGGGGGCCGUCAAUUUCUUUUGCCGUUGUGGUAUUGUCAGAGAAGAAGCCUGUCGAGGACGUGCGACACAGAGUGAAGAAGACCAUGAAGCGGUAACCUCACUCACUCUCUCUCUCUCUCUCUCUCUCUCUCUCUCUCUCUCUAUUUUCCAAGUUUUCACUUCCACUUAGGGUUAGGUUUCUCUCUCUCUUCAAUUCUUUAGGUUUUUCUUUCUGUUUCUUCCUUUUCAUUCAAUUUUUAGGGGUUGUGUAACUGUAAUUGCAGAAAAUUGGUUCACGAUGGGCAUUAGUAUUAUGUGAUGGUAAAAAAAUGUGUGACACGGAAUGGUGUUUGUGCCAUAGCUUUUAUGUGGCAGUCAUAAUCUGACCUUGUGAGUGUAUUGCAGUGAGCUUUAUAUUAAAGCAUCUUCAAAAGGACGACCCUCUACAAUCAGGGAGGUUAAAGCUUUGAACAUUGGUCAACUUGUAAGAAUUUCUGGUAUUGUUUGGGUUUCGACUUUCAGGACAUGACUUGUAUCAAAUAAUUUUUUUUUGCUCUAUAUAUUGUUUAAUCCAUGAUUUGUGAUAAUUUUCUUAAUGUACUUCCAUUUAAACUUCAGAUUUGAGUAUCAUUGUUAUCAGUUUCAUACUCCUUUGUAUGAAAAUUACUAAUCUUUUAUUAAAGACAAAAAGUUCAAGCUUCAUAAUUAUAUCAAUCUGUUAAUUCUGUACAAGUUCUAUAAGGCUACAUCUAUAUGGAAUUCCAAUUAGUUGAUGGUAAUGAUGAUAUGGGAGUUUCUGGGGAUGUGGGUUUGAGUACGUAUGAAGUUCAGAUGCAUCAAGAAACAUAUGAAGGUGUGCUAUUCUAAUCAUUUAAAUUUUUAUAUGGAAUUCUGAAUGAAUAAAAAAAUUAGGCAUGUCAUGUAUAAAGCUUUGCAUCCUGUUUAUGACUUUAUGUUGUGGGCACUAUUCAUUUGUUUAAUGUUUGUUUUGCAUCCACACUGUCUCUCUGGCUUAUUCAUAUAAUUGAUUUUGUAAUUUGUGCCUGCAGAAUUUCAGCAGGAAGUGACAGAAUUUCAGGUUCAAUUCAUGUUCUCUACAUAGUUCUGUCAUGCUUAUUGUUGUCAAAUUGUUCUGAUUAUAAUUUUGUAUAGUAUGGGCAUUUGAUACAGAGACAGAGUGCUGGUCACUCAUGGAGACUCAGUGAUAGAAAUUGCUCUUGUGCAUUGUUACUAUUUUGAUAUUAUAUUACAUAUUUUUGUUCCAUCAUGCUAUUAUUGAUUAAUUAAAAUGUAAAAAAAUAAAAUAAAAGAACCAUUAUUACAUGCUGAAUGGUGAAUUCUACUUAAAGUUUUUUUUCCAUUACUAUCUGUUGUUUAUAUAUGUCCAGUGAUUUUUUCCAUUACGUGUUUGCUUGAUUCUAUGUUCCUUUUCCCGUUAUAUAUCCUUUCAAAUGGUAGGAAUAUAGUGCUGAAUUGGGAGAUACCAAAAAAGUGUACGAUGUACUUUACUUGUCUUUUUAUUUUUUUAUUUUUUAAUACUAUUCUUUAAAUUUAGUUAAUCUCAAUGUGUCCCGUUAUUAAUUCCUAAAAUAUUUUGUAUCUAUAAAGUUGAAGUUUGUAAAUUUAUAUUUUAACAUAUAUCAAAUUAAUAGCUCUCAUGAGUAAAUGCAGGUUUGUCGGAAAUUGUAGCUUCUUUAUCUUUGAGAAAAUGCAGGUAUGUUGGAAAUUGUAGCUCUCAUGCUCACAGAGGAAGUGUCUCCCAGUGAACAACCUGAUCUUUUUCUUCAAUUAGCUUUAACUUCAACAUUCUUUGCUGGGAUCUUUCAAGCCGCUCUUGGAAUUCUAAGGUAAUUAAUUCCUUAUUAGCAUUUCCAUUUUUAGUUAAACUAUAUACUUAGCCUCUAUAGUUAUUUUAAUUUUAAGUUUUAGUCUAGAUACUAGAAAAUGAUAAGUUUUAGUCUUUACAUAUAUAUUUUUGUUUACCAAGUUUUGGUCCUAGUAACUAAUAUCAGACUAGAAAAUUGAAAGACUUUACACAUUUAUUUUUACCUAAGUUUGGUCCCUCUCACUAACAUGAAUUUUUUUGCAGUAUAAAACUGCUCCAAGAACUUUCCACCACUGAUAAACUGGAAAAAAAAUUGUACAGAGGCUAAAUCUUACCGUUACUGUAUGAUAAUUUGUUUAAACUUAUUUCUUGAGAAAAACAUUUCUUUAAUAAAAUAAACAGUUUUUUUUUUUUUUACUUUUUCAGUAUGUUUGCUGAAUCUGUUUUUGCAUAAAAAGUAAAUUUUUAAUUUUAAAUAAUCUGACUCUUAUGCAUAGAGACUAAGAAACUUAAAAUUGAGACAACCAUAGAAAUUAAAUGAAUAGUUUAAGAGGUUAACCUUCAAUUUUUCAUUUGGAAAAUGACAAAAGAAAAAGGGUCUCAAGUGAAAUAUAAGGUAAAGUCUCAAAUGAUUGCAGGCUAGGAUUUAUCAUUGAUUUUCUAUCAAAGGCAAUCCUUAUUGGAUUCAUGGUUGGAUCAGCUGUAAUUGUAGCUUUGCAACAGCUCAAGGGCCUUCAUGGAAUCAAACAUUUCACCAAAAAGAUGCAACAGCUCAAGGACUAACAUUGCAGUAAGAUACUGCUUUAGCUAUAAAUAAUGGAAUUCUGGUUAUAGCUCUUGAAAUUAAUAAAAUUCUGCUCUUGCUUGUUAAGAUAAUUCACAAUAAAUUAACUCCAGUUAAUCUUAACCAGAUUUGUUGAGGAUCGGCUAGCUACCUUAAAAAAUGUCAACAAAGAGCCUGAGUUAGACCAAUGGAAUUUGUAUCUAGGUAGUUCUCUGUACCUGUUUAUGAUUUCUGCACCAUCCCUCAUUUUGUCCUGGUUAAUAACUAAACAGUUUUAUAACUAAACAUUCUCUCAUAAGUUGAAAAUUUUGAAAACUAAAUACUGUUAAAAUAUGGUCUAUGAAGGGUGAUAUAUUUAGUUUUAUGGUUGUUGGACUGAUGUUAUCUGACUAUGAUUUAUUUUACUGUUUAUGUAUUUUGCUAACUCUGUCCAAUAUACCAAUUAGAGUGAUAACAUGGACGCUACUAGUAACUAAACACAGGGAAGCUUAGUUAUAAUUAUUAUUUGUUUUUAAAAUAUUACUACAACAUUAUAUAGCUGCUUAUAAAUUCACUCCACUCUAUUUUUUAACAAUAAAUAUUGGUAGUUACUUUCUCUCUAGGUCAUACAGAGAUAAAAACAAAGAAUAGUUGAUACGAGAGUAUUUGUCAAAACAAAUUUACAAGUUAGUUGAAAAUUAAACUUAUAAAUUAGUUGAAACUCAUAAGAGCUGAAAUAAUAAAAAUUUAUAAGCUAGCUAGUUGAUUGAAUAAAAAUAUUUAAUAAUAUUAGCCAAUAAGCUAGUUAAUAAAUAUAAAAUGACAUAAAUAUUUAGAUUUAAUUACUUGAUAUAAAGAGAGAUAUAAAAUAAAUUAACAAAGAUAAAAAUAAAAAUAAAUAACCAGUUGCUUAUAAUAAGAAUAGGGGAUCGAAUAGAGUAAGAUAAGAAUACUGAUAAAUUAUUUUUGAACAAUAAAUUGUUCACAUAUCACUACUCCUUUUAUAAAUUUCACCAUUCAAAAUAAUUAUAUUGUUUGGCCUUGAGUUAUUCCAACCUCAACAAGAUUACAUGAAGAAGAGAACGAAAAUGCUUGGCAACAACACCACCAAAAAAAUGCUGAUGCAAGUGCUCCUUGUUCACAAAUCAAAAGUAGUAUAUAUAAUUCAUAGUUUUAUUAUCCCUUUCUUAUCUCUAAUUUCUUGUUCGUCUAUUUAGUUCUUUAGUAUUUAAGCCAUCUUACAGGCUUUAAUAAUGUAUUUAUUUUUAUCUACUUUCAUAAUGUAUUAAUUUUUAAUUGCAACAUAAACUUUGAGGUUCACAAAUCGACUAUGCUCUAUUUAGUGUCCACCAUUCAACACUUAUGUCGUUUAGCAUUCACUUAUUCUUCUGAUCAUUUGUUUAUGCCCUUGAAAUCACAUGUGCGCCUAUAGAGAAAUGAGUACGCUGCUUCCAACCUCAACAAGAGUACAUGAUACAGAGAACCAAAAUGCUUCUCAACAACACCGAAGAGAUGCAGGCACUCUCUUUGUCCUCAAAUCUAAAGGUAGUAAUCAUUCAUACAUAUAGUUUUCCAUUCAUACAUAUAUGGAUUCCAAUCACAAUUUGAAUUUUAAGAGACAUAAAUUUUCAUUGACUGGUGUGGAAUAUUUGGUUUGUUUUGUUUUAGGUGAAGGAUUAUAUUGCAACCCCUGAACCGAAUGGCUACCAGAGUCUUCAGACCACUGUGAUUCCAUUUUUGUAUGAGAAUGUUUAGGCUAGAAGUCUAGGUAUGCUUUUUAUAGCUGCAGUAGUUUGAAUUGGUUAGGCUUAUUUGUAUUGACAACGUAUUCUUGAGUAUGCAAAUUAAUUUUUAAAUUUUUUCUCAAUUAUUGUUGUCCAAUUUAUUAGCAUAAUUUUUAUUUAUUUUAAUAUACAAAGUUUCUCAUGCCUGCUCUGUGCAAGUUUGAAGUUGAGCUAGUUUCAUUUUUGGGGAUGUAAAGGCUCCAUACAGCAAAAAAAAACAAAUUGCAUUUCUACAUCAGUUCUGACAUGAUCGAUGUAGAAAUGUUUAACAUUCUACAUCAAUCUUGUAGUUGUGACCGUCGUUGAAUGCUGAGAAGGUCUCAUAUAAUCGAUGUAGAUUGUCUUUUUUCUAGUAGUGAUGAAUGCUUGCUUUGACUUGAUCACCCUUUUCUUGAUGUUGUGUUUUGAAUUGUCAAUGGAAAAUGCUUUUGAACAUAGAAAUAAAGAGGAACACCUAAUGGGUUUUCUGUCUAGAGAUAAAACAAAUCUUGUUAGUCAUCUUUUAACUCUUGUUCUUUAUGCAAGUCACUUAGGUAGAUUAGUCAAGGGAUUGAUAUUUUGGUCAAGGGACUUAGAUUCUUUCAUCUGAGGGAUUGAGGUUUGAGCAUUGAACUAGAUUAGUGACUUGUGAAUUGAUUAUUAUGAUUGGGCAUUGAACUAGAUUAGUGACCUAUGUAGCAUAAGGAGGUGGUUUAGGGAAGUUAGCCCUAACUCUUUUAUUCUUUGUUAUUUUACUUCUUUUUAUCGUACUCCAAGUGUUUGUAAAAAUUACCGAAAAAAGAUUUUCUUAUUCCUUUGCUCUUGAAUUUUAUGAUUGUUUCAUUUCUUGCUAUUUAUAUUGUUACAAUCAAAUUAUAAUUGCUGUUUCUGGAAGCCAUAGUUAGUGAAUAUUGGUUUUUUUAGUAUUACGCGAGUCCCUAAGAAUAUGAGAGUGACAACAACGAAAGAGUAAAAGUUGGAGAUAAUGAGAGUGUUUCAAAGUGAGUCAGCGCCAAAAAUUUAGAAAUAUUAAAAAUGAACUAAAAUCAGUUUAAAACUGAUGUUAAGUAAUUACUAACAACAUUAACAUUUGGGAAAUAUUUAUAGAACAUAAUAGAUAAUAGAUAUGUAAAAUAUAAAAUCAAAAUAAGCGUGAUUAGUGAUAUUAUUCACCCGUGUUUUAGCCCAUAUGUUUACAAAUUGCAUGAGUUUGCUCAAUUUCAUAAAUAAUACUAUACUUUUUUAUAUCUCUUUUUUUUUGUGAUUAGUAACAAAAGAUAAAAAGCCACCAUAUAUUAACAUUCUUAAAGAUAAUUGAAUAAAUGAAUAUUGAGAGUUUUUUUAAACUCUUCAUAUCGUAUCCCGUGUAUUCUUCUUCAAUCAUUUUCACUUUCACAAUUUAAUUAAGUACCAGGCAAUAACAACUGGGAAAAAAAAACUAACAAACGUGAUCUCCAUUCCCAUGUUUAUGUUUAUCUCAAAUUCAAAUUAUACCCAUUACUUGCUUUAAGCAUAAAUUUCAUAUUUUUAAUUCUAUAUGUUGUUUCUAUCUUUAAGAAAAAUGUUUAUAUCCACAAAUUAAGUAUAGAUUUAUUACUUGUCUUAAAAAUAUCAUUUUCAUAUUUUUACAUAAUUUACUAGGAGAAGAAGAGAAAAGAAAAACUCCACCUCAUAAUUUUACAUAUAAAUUCUAGAUAUUAAUUUGACUUAUACAUGGCAUUUUAAAUAAAAUAAAAUAUUCAAUGAAUUAGUUAAGUGAAAAGAAAAUAAGCAAGAAAUAAACCAAAAAAACAUUUCCAUUAAUCUCAUUAGUUAUAUUUUAUUCUCAUUCUUCUGUAAAAAAAAAAAUAUUUUAUCUGUAUUCUCCAUAUUAAGUAAAACAAAGUAUUCAAAAAAAUUAGUUAAGUAAAAAAAAAACUUAUACGAGUAAGAAGAUAAUAAAUAAGAAAUACAUCAUUUGCCUAUAAUUUCAUUUUAGAUAUUAAUUUUAUUUAUACUUUCUAUGUUAAAUAAAAUCAGAUAUUCAAUAAAUUAGUUAGGUCAUAAGAUAAUAGCCAAGAAAGAAAAAAAAUUAUUUACACAAUUCUAAUUCAUUAUAUUUUAUUCAUAUUCUCUAUAAUAAAUAACACAAAGUAUUCAAAAAACUAGUUAAGCUAAAAGAAAAAAUGAAAAAACAUUUAUAGUAUCAUAAUUUCAUUGAUUCAAAUUUCUCUUAGUUUUGUAAUUAAAUAUGUAUUAAAUAGGAAAAAAUUUACUCCUUGGUAAUUAAAUAUAGUUUUUUAUUUUCUUUUAAAAAAUCACUUUCUUCUUUUUUAUUUUAUAUAUAAUUUCUAUCUUUGGCAAUAAUCUUUAGUAAAAAAGUUACUCCCCUUAAAUUAAGUAUAAAUUUUGUUAUUUGAUUUUGAAAUAAUCAUCUUUAGGAUAAUAUUUCAUUUCAACGGAAAUAAUUUUCGAUUAGACUUUUUUUACCCUCAAUUGAACUCCAGAUUAGUCAAAACUUAUUUUUCUCUAAUGAAUUGGAAGGUUAAGACCAGAAAAAAGUCACAUUAAUAUUUUAUAUUUGAAUAUAUAAUUUCUAACUUUAGUUGAAACCGGUAAAUUAACUAUAGAUUUUCUUACUUUCUUUAAAAAUAAAUUUAAUAUUUUAUUUUAUUUUAUAUGUUAUUUCUAUCUUUAAGAAAAAUGUUCAUCUCGACAAAUUAAGUAUAAAUUUUGUUACCAGUCUUCUUAAAAAUAUCAUUUUCAUAUUUUUUACAUAAUUCAUUGAGAGAAGAAGAGAAAAGAAAAAUCUCACCUCAUAAUUUUACAUAUAAAUUUUAGACAUUAAGUUGUACUUAUACUUGGUAUUCUAAAUAAAAUAAAAUAUUCAAUCAAUUAGUUAACUGAAACAUCACAAUGCUAGUGAUUAUGUUGGAUGGAGGUGACGGGGUAGGAGUCAUUUUAUUUAAUGACUGAAUUUUGAAAUUUUCUAGUAGCAGUAGUGAAACACAAAUGGAUCCUCUACAUUAACGUUAAUUAAUACUAUAGAUAAUUGCAACUUUUUAUUAUAUUAUAUUUUUUAUAUUAUUUCCAUACGAAAAAAAUCAGCAAUACAAUUUGGAACAUUACUAAAAUUACGGGGAUCAACUUGAGAAUUCAGAGCUCGAUCAAGAGACUGAGUCACCGAGUUUGCUUGUCUCCCUACAAAACAAACACAAAAGUUUGGUAAAUCAAGUAGCAUAGUACAAUAGUUGGAUAAGAUCGCAACAUAUUUUGAUUUAUCUUAGCGAUAUUUAUAUACUUCAUUCUCCACUUGAAGGCAAUCGGAUUCAAUAAUGAUAUAAGAAAUCUCCAGAUCUUUGAGCCAUUGUAAGGCUACCAACAUGGCUAGGAGCUUCCUUUCGUGAAUGAACAGUUUAAACAGGAAACUGUGAUCGAGAUAAAGUCAUGACAAAUUGACCUCUAUCCUCCCUGAUAAAACAACGAACUUAGAAGAGUUUUCCUCUUCGACAAAAGUAGCGCCAAUAUUGCAUUUUAAAGUCCCUAGAGGAGGAGGUUCCCACCUUACUACCAUCAAAUUUGCAGUGGGUCUUAAGUAUAUCUUCUCAAUCACUCGGGCUUUUCUGCAAUUUUCAAAAAGCUCCUGAGCUUGAUGUACCUCAUGCUCAGUGUGCAAUCACUUACAAUAAUUUUAUUCUACAUACAGGCUUAGUGCGACAUACUAGGCUAAGUGUUAUGGCAAUUAUGCAGAAACAUGCAAUGCAUUUGACCCUAUUUAAUCUAUGUUUAAUGUUCAUUAUUAAGUUUUCUCCUCUAUGCAUUAAUGCUUGCUUUGGCUUGAUCACCCUUUUCUUGAUGUUGUAUUUUGAAAUGUCAAUGGAAAAUGCUUUUGAAUUUAGAAAUAAAGAGGAACACCUAAUGGGUUUGGUGUCUAGACAUAGAAUAAAUCUUGUUAGUCAUCUUUUAACUCUUGUUCUUUAUGCGAGUCACUUAAGUAGAUUAGUCAAGAGAUUGAUAGUUUGGUCAAGGGGCUUAGAUUCUUUCAUUUGAGGGAUUGGGGUUUGAGUAUUUUUGUGAGUUGAUGAUUAUAAUUGGACAUUGAACUAGAUUAGUGAUCUAUGUUAGCAUGAGGAGGUGGUUUAGUGAAGUCAACCCUAACUCUUUUAUUCUUUGUUAUUUUACUUCUUUUUAUCGUACUCCAAGUGUUCAUAAAAAUUACCCGAAAAGAUUUUCUUGUUCUUUUGCUCUUAAAUUUUAUGAUUGUUUCAUUUCUUGCUAAUUAUAUUGCUACAAUUAAAUUAUAAUUGUUGUUUCUGAAAGCCAUAGUUACUGAAUAUUGUUAUUUUUUCAAGUAUUACACGAGCCCCUAAGAAUACGAGAGUGACAACCACCAAAGAGUGAAAGUUCAAGAUAAUGAGAGAGUUUCAAAGUGAAUCAGCUCUGGAGGUUUAGAAAUAUUAUAAAAGAACUAACAUAAGUUUUAUUUAAAAAUUGAUGUUAUCUACUUAUUUGACAAAUCAGUUUUUAAAAACCAAUGGUAACUAAUCAAUGACAACAUCAAUUUUUUGAAAAUAUUUAUAGAACAUAAUAGAUAAUAGAUAUGUAAAAUAUAAAAUUGAAAUAAUCAUGAUUAGUGAUGUUAUUCACCCACGUUUUAGCCCAUAUGUUUACAAAUUGUAUGAGUUCGCUCAAUUUCAUAAAUAAUACUAUACUUUUUGAUAUCUUUUUUUUUUGUGAUUAGUAGCAAAAGAUAAAAAGUCACCAUAUAUUAACGUUCUUAAAAAUAAUUGAAUAAAUGAAUAUUGAGAGUUUCUUUAAACUCUUCAUAUCAUAUUCCGUGUAUUCUUUUCCAAUCAUUCUCACUUUCAUAAUUUAAUUAAGUAACACGCAAUAACAACUGGGGAAAAAAAUUAACAAACAUGAUCCCAUUCCCAUGUUUAUGUGUGCAACAAACUAGACCAAUAAAGUCAUAAGAAUAAAAAAAGGAUUUAUAAUGCAAACAGAUCUAAGAUUGAUGAAGGGAAAAAGAACCCGGUGUAUAUUUGUAUAAUUUUCAAAACCGACUAUGUAUCCCCUGCAUCUCCUCUACAAACAAAUGCUGGCCAUGUCUUGUACAAAUUAAUGCUCAACACGUAGCCGUGCAUGAUGCAUCCACUAAUUAACUUUGAAGAAGAAAAAAUGGCGAUCAAAUAAUUCCUGCGAAUUAAAGAAUUGUGACUGACUCUAACAUUUUUGACUAUGAUAAAAAAAAAAAAAACUUCUUUAAGUGGAAAGUUUUAUAAUGGGAGGUGAGAACUAAUUAACUUUGUGUUUUAUGUAAACUAGCAAGUAUUUCUUAGAAUGUACAAGCUUAUAUAUAAAUAUAUGUGAACUAUAAAUUAUAUCAGGAAAUAAAUAUCUAAUGUGUGUUACUCAUCAUUUCUAAGAAUAUUAGUCAUUACAUUUAAAGAAAAAAAUGUGAAAUAUAAAAAAUAUAAAUGUAAAAAAUAUCUAGACAUUAUUUUAUGUUAAUAUAUAAAAAUAGAAAUUAUAAUAUAAACAUGAAAACAUUUUAAUUUUUGAAAAACAUAAAAAAAUAAUUAAUGUAAUAUUAUUAUAAUGAGGACUUGCAAAUUAGUAUUUUAUGAUACUUAUUGCUUCACAUAUUAACUUAAUUAAACAAAAGAAAUUUUGUUUGCAUAACUAAUUUGUUCUUCUCUUGAUAAACAAACAAAAAUUGUUACUCCCUUCACACUAAAAAAAUUUAUCUUCUUAAGUUAUUUUACAAACACAAAAAUUAAUAAAUAGAAAAAAAGAAUAACAAUUUAUAAAAUUAACCUUAUAUCAUCUUUAUUUAUUUAUAGAUUUUAUUGUUCAUUAUUAAUGUUAUAAGAGAUAUAAUUAAGUGGAAAAAAGAAAAAAAAAGUUAUUUUGAGAUUUCAUUUUUUAUAUUUACACGAUAAUUAUAAUAAGACAAAAAAAUAUCAUGAAAUGGAAACUACAUUUAUGAUAUAAGGGAUUGACAUAAUUAAUUAUUUGUUACACAUUUGCCCUUAUUUAACAUAACUUAGAUAAUUGUAUAUGGAUUAUUCCACAACUACUCUCAUCAUAAAUAUCAAAUGAUGAUAUUUUAGGUUCAAUAUAUAGUUUGUAAGUACUAUUAAUUAUUUCUUAAACAUUGUAUAUGAACUUUGAAAAUCCAUAGUUUAGGUCUGGAGAAAAAAAUCAAUAUAUUUUGGAUUCAAAUGCAAAAGUGACUUAAAUAAGCAUAAUGUGUUCUAAUUUAUUGAAAACUAUAAAAUCAAAAAGAGAUAAUUAUUAAAUACCAUGUGAGAUUCAUAAAAGUUUUCUAAUUUUAGUAAAUUUCAAUCGAAAAGAGAAAUUAUGUUAAAAAAUGAUCAAGAUCACAUUAUCCUUUAUGGAAAGUAAUCAUGUUAGAGAUGUAGGAAGUUGAUUAUAAUUAUGACGAGUUAUUUUUCUUCAUAUAUUAUAAUUACAAUUUAUCUCAAAAAUCAAAAUCAUUCUCUUUGAUAAAUAGUUGUUGAAAUCACCUAUUUAAUAUAUAGUUAUACGUAACCACACAUAGUUUGGUAAAAAAAAUCUUAUAUUAAAAAAAAUAAUAAAGUGUUAAUUGUUUAUUAUUUAGUUUAAAAAGUUUAAGAUAUUGAUUUAUUUAAAACUAGAUACAUUUUUACCAAUUUAUUUUGAGAAAAAAAUUGCUAGAAGGAACACUUUCGUUCAUUUAAUUUUGUAAAAUUAAUCCACAUCAAAAGAACAACUAAUAAAUUCGCUUCCACUACGCGUGUAUCAGUUGGAUAUUAGUUCUUCUUCUUCUUCUUCUUCUUUUUUUUUUACAAGAUAUUGUGGCCAUAUUUUGUUCUAGUUUCUAGUUGUGUUUUUGGUAGACUUUUUGUUCUCUAAUAUUUAUAUCUCCUACUGAUAUAAAUAUAUAGUAACCAAUGUCCUACUGGCUUCAUAUAUUUCUGUAUAGGGUAUCUUUGGUACCUUUCUAUAAAUACAAUAUCUUUCCUCAGCCGACAAAAAAAAAAAAACUAAAAAAAAUGCAAGUCAAUGAUUUAGUAAAAAUAAAAUAAAAUUUGAAGUUUUCGAUACACACUAUUUGGUAUAUGUUUUAGUUGUUUUUUCAUAAAAGAAAACGUUUCUGUAAGGGUGUCAAUAAUUGAUAGUAAUUUAAUUAAAAUAAGUGAAAAAAUUUAAUAGUGCAUAAAAGGUGGCGAAUAGAAUGCAAGUUUCUAUAUGUCAACAAGUUUAUCAAUGGAAAAUCCCAUGAAUUUAUCCGGUUGUAAUAAAAAAUAAAAUAUAUAUUUGCACUCUUGAAAUAUUUUAAAAUGCUAGUUUUAAUUCUUAAUUAAUAUAUUUUUAACUUCUACAUUUAUAAAAAAAAGUGAUGUGAUUUUAGUCACCGGGCCGGAGAGACUAGAAACAUAUGUUUUUGUAAAAAUAUAGGGAUUAAAAACUUAUUUUCAAAUAUUUUUAAAAAAUAAAAAUACAUUUUUAUCAAAAAAUCACUUGGAUAGGAUUGGAUGAUUUUAAAAAUUAAAUAAAAUAGAUAACAAUCUGUCUAUUCUCAUUUUCAAAUUUUAUGGAUUAUCCAAUUAACACUGUAGAAUAAAACCAGUUAAACAUAAUUUUUUAAUAUUUCAAGUUCCUUUAAAUUUAUUAAAAAAAUAUUUUUUCAUAUAUUAAUUUUUAGUACUUAUUCAUAGGAGUGUCUAUAGAAUCCAAUAACUCAUGCACUGGAAUUGACCAAAACCCUUUAAUAUAAAUUUUGUUGUUAUUUCGGUAAAAGCCAAAACUAUAUUUCAAAUAAAUAAGAAAGUGUUAAUAACCGUUAUUUAAUUUUAAAAAAUUUGUAGGUAUUAAUUUGAUAAAAUAAAAAAAUAUUUCUUAAAUGUUAGUUUUAGAAAGAAUAGUCUAAACGAACACUUUCAUUCUUUAGUCAUAUGGAUUAAUUCACCUUAAUGACAACUCACAAAUUUAUUCUCUGGAUUUCAUACACAAAUUAAGCUCCAAAAGAAAAAAAAUCUUUAUGACAAUGAUAAUUGAUAUGCCGAACUAGAACGAUUAAUUAGUGUUAUUGACCUAAGUUUUAGCCCAUGUUUGCAAAUUGUAUGAGUUUGCUGAAUUUCAUAAAUAAUAUUAUAGUUCUUUAUAUCUCUUAUUGUUGUGAUUAGUAACAAAAGAUAAAAAGCUAUAUAUUAAUGUUCUUCAAAAUAAAUUGAAUAAGUGGAUAUUGAAAAUUUCUUUAAACUCUUGGCAUCAUAUUCUGUGUAUUUUUUCUCAAUCAUUCGCACUUUUACAAUUUAAGUACCACAAAAAAAAUUGAGGAAAAAAAAAACUUGACCCAUGCAUAUGUUUAUCUUUAAUUAACCCAAAUUAUACCCAUUAAUUAUUGUGCUGCAAACUAGACCAAAAAAUCUUAAGAAUAAAAAAAAGUUAAAAAGGAUAUAUAAUGCAAGCAUAUGUAAAUUGAGAAAGAAGAAAAAGAAAACAGUGUAUUUGUAUAUUUUUCAAAACCGAACAGCUAGCUAAAGGUUGGAAAUAAAAUUUAGAGUAAAGUAUACAAAUACUUACUGAGAUUUUGUUAAAUUUCUCUUGAUACUCCUUAUUUUAUUUGUUUUUUAAAAAAAAUAUAAAUUUCUUAAUUUUUCCUAUAUUAAACAUGUUUAAUUUUAUUAUUUAUUUAUAUUUAGUUAGGAUUAAUUUGACUUGUAGGUUCAGUUUAAAGCCAAGAUACAUAAAAAAUAUAUAUAUAUAAAGCCAUUAUGAACCAUCAAAUUUUCUGCCAAAGAAAAAUUAAAGUUGACCAAAGAAAAAUUAAAGUUGACCAACCUGCAGUCCAAUUUGCCUCGUACCUCUAGAAAUAAUUGCACCAAUUGUCUCUAUGCAUUUUAUUUAAGUAUGCAACAAAGGCAUAUGUCACUUUGUUUGCGCAAUGUGAAAACAAAGGCAUAUAUGUCACUUUGGAUCCCAUGUAUAUGCUAAAAGUUGUUUCUUCAUAACAUCGAUCCAUAACUUGUGGAUCCCAUGUAUUUUCUUAUUCUUUAAUUUCUGGAAUUGAUUAUUAUUAUUCUUAUUUAAUAUAGUAAGACCCGAAUCAGAUGAUUUAAUUAAGAAGACUUUCAUUAAUUAAAAUGUUUAUCCAAAGAAGGUUAGUUACAUGUUCACACACAUAAAACAAUAAUUAACUAGAAAUAUUGUAGUAUGAAUUAACAGAUAUUUAAAAAUUUGAUCCAAUCAUCUAUAUAAGAGGAAGGAGUGGUGUCCGAUAUAAUCACACCAACCAAAGCCACAAAAGAAAAGCAAUAGCAAUAGCAGUAGCAACAGCCCAUAUAAAAUAUAAUGGCAGAAACCUGCGACUCCAACAAUAAAGUGAUCCGUGAAUACCAUCAUGAUGCUUCCUUUAUGUCAAGGUGUGACAUCUUUACUGAUGUUACCGAGUACCAACCGUGUCUGGCAUAUGCCGGAGAAUCUGGUAAAGGAAACUUCGAACCUAAGUGGGACACAGACAAUGUCACUCCCCACCUUAUCGAGCAGUUCAAGCUAAAUUGUGCUGCCUCGAAUCUGCCAGUCAAAGUGUUUGUCAGCAUCGGAGGAGAUGACCCCUUCAAAGUUGCUGCUGGUGGUGCCGAUGAUUGGGUUCUCAAUGCCACAACCACACUCCACCACAUGAUCAACGAGUACCACAUCGAUGGAAUCGAUGUUAACUACACCACAAUCCUGUGCAACCAAAAAUUGUUUGUUAACUGCUUUAAGGAUCUCAUAAGGGGUCUAAGGGAAGCUCUAUGCACCACUGGGUUUGUGGCUUCCUUAGCUCCAGAUGCUGCCACUUAUGUUGUGUUUCAGUGCUUCGUUGAUUUUGAACCUCGAGAUCCUAACAGACCAGUUAAAAGCUUGGUGCAGCAUACUUACCAAAACUAAAUAUGAAUAAUUUUUUUCACAAAGAUCAAAAUUUAAAGAAAAUACAAACUUACAAAAAUAAAAAUGUAUUUAAGUCAUUUAAUAUGAUGAUUGAAAUAUUUAUCAUUCAAUAUUGAGAUUUUAGUUAAUUGAAUUUAAAAGAGAUUUAAUUGAUAUGAAUUUAAAAUUAAAGUAUGAAAAUUAAAAUUUAUCAACUAUUAUUUAUCAAUAAUCAAUGAUAAUGAGUUAAAAUCAUGAUUUAGACAUUCUUAAAUCAUCUUUACAUGUCAAAUAACAGAAAAAAUAUUUUUUAAGAAAAUAUUGUUUAUAUUCUUUGAAUGAAAAUUGAUUUUGAGGGUGUAAUAACCAAAAUGGAUUUUAAUGUCUAUGUACACUCAAUUUUCUAUUAUAAUUAGUUAUAUAUAUAUAUAUAUAUAUAUAUAUAUAUAUAUAUAUAAUUAAAAUUAAAUGGACAUAAUUAAAAUUAAGAUGAUAUAUGUAUAAUAUGCUAACUUGAAGGCAAUCGGAUUCAAUAAUGAAAUCAUCAAUCCCAGAUCUUUGAGCCAUUAGAAGGCUACCAACAUGGCUAGGGCCUUCCUUUCAUGAGUUUAAACGGGGAAGUGUGAGAUAAAGCCAUGACAAAGUGACCUCUAUCAUCCCUGAUACAACAACCAACUUAAAAGAAUUUUCUUAUUCGACAAAAGCAGAAUCGAUAUUGCAUUUUAAAGUCAUUAGAGGAGGAGGUUCCCACCUUACUGCCAUCAGAUUUGUAUUGGGUCUUAAGUAUGACUUCUCAAUCACUCAAGCUUUUCUCCGAUCGUCGAGAAACUCCUGAUCUUGAUAUACCUCAGGCUCAACACGCAAUCACUUACAACAAUUCUAUGUUACAUACAAGCUUAGUGUGACAUGCUAGGCUAAGCGUGCAGGCACUUAUGCAGAAACAACAGUGCAACGCAUUUGACCCUAUUUAAGCUCCAAGGAUGCAAAUAGAAGGUAGAUAACUGGUUGGGGGACUAUCUAGGGUUUGAGGUUGCAGGUGCAAAGCUCUCCCUUUCCCUCCAUGGCUUCCCUACCAUUUCUCAUCAUCUAUUUUCUUCUUGCUGUUAGAUUUACCCAUUUUAGGGGUUGACGUAGUUGAAUCCAUCCUGAUGCUUACAUUUUGAUUAUUAAUGUAUGUUUAUUGUUCAUUAUUAUGUGUUUUCCUCUAUGCAUUAAUGUUUGUUUUGGCUUGACCACCCAUUUCUUGAUGUUGUGGUUUGAAUUGUUAGUGGAAAAUGCUUUGGAAUUUAGAAAUAUAGAGGAACACCUAAUGCGUUUUGUGUCGGGGGGAUAGAACAAAGCUUGUUAGGGAGGGGUUUAACUCUUGUUUUUAAAGCAAGUCAUUUGGGUAGAUUAGUUAAGGGAUUGGUAGUUUGGUCAAGGGGCUUAGAUUCUUUCCAUCCGAGGGAUCGGGGUUUGAGACUUCCCGUGAUUUGAUUAUUAUAAUUGUGCUUUUUUUAAUGGAAAUGUUUUUUGGUUUAUUUCUUGGUUAUUUUCUUUUCACUUAACUAAUUCAUUGAAUAUUUUAUUUUAUUUAAAAUACCAAGUAUAAGUCAAAUUAAUGUCUAGAAUUUAUAUGUAAAAUUAUGAGGUGGAGUUUUUCUUUUCUCUUCUUCUCCCAGUAGAUUAUCUAAAAAUAUGAAAAUGAUAUUUUUAAGACAAGUAACAAAAUCUAUACUUAAUUUGUGGAGAUGAACAUUUUUUUAAAGAUAGAAACAACAUAUAAAAUUAAAAAUAUGAAAUUUAUGUUUAAAACAAGUAAGAAAAUUUAUACUUAAUUUACGGACAGAAAUAUGUCAACUAUAGAUACAAUUUUCAUAGUGCAGAAUAUGAAAUACAUCCUCAAUAAUCAGGUUAACUUUGGUCUUCAAUUGGUAAAUUAUAUUACUCAUGUAUUAGUACCUCAAUUAUUCAAAAUAGUUUUACACAUAUCAAAUUGUUAUUUUGCAUUUUUGGAGUAUAAGCACAAAUUUUGUCAAGCAAGUUAAUACAACAACGGCAUUUGUAUGUAAUUUGUACAAAGAAGCUUAAAUUCAAGAUAAUAUAUUAAAUAUCAGAUGAAAUAACAACAAGAUAAUGGUACCUAUAGUCCUUGCAACAUUUCUGGGGUUGGAAGCUCAAGAAAAUGUGCAAUACCAACAAAUUCAAUCUCCUCACUCCUCUUAGCAACACCCUUUUUAAACAAAUAAAGUUUAUAAGAAGAAAUUCUAUUCUAUAUAGUUGCAACACAAUAGUAUCCAAGAAACAUGUUUUUGAUGCAAGAUUAAUAGUCUCAGCUGUAACCUAGCAAUACAAUGUAAAAUUAGUUUUUCUUUAAAUUAAAUCAUAUAAUAAUUAUAAUUUAUGAUAAUUUACAAUAAAUCUGGUUGCCUAUGCAUUGCACAGGCUCUAAUACUAGUGUGUGAGUAUAUAUAUAUAUACACACACACAUUUUUCCCUUCUACUUCUAGAAAUACACACAUGCUCAAUAUUUUCAUAGAUUAUAAAAUUCACUAAGUAAAAAAAAUAAAGUUAAAAUCAUGAUAAUAGUAUUAAAAUUAUUAUUAUUAUUUUAAACAAAUAAGUAAAACUAAACACUCAAAUGUUCAUAUUUAAGCAUGUAAUUAUAAUAAUCAUGGAAUAAAUAAAAAAUGUCUGAAAAAAUUAUUGGAAAGGAAAUAAAAAUAAUAAUUGUGACUUUUUUUAUCCAUUGAAAUCAAAGACAUUUAUCAGGAGGUUUAAAACACGUAUCUUACUCAACCACCUAUAUAUUAUUUUAAAAAAUGUGCGAAAAUCAAAUGUGACAUUUAAUUGAAUAAUUUUAACGAUAAAGUUGACAUUUCAUUAAAUAGAAAAUAAGAAAUAAAUAGAUGAAAAAGCAAUUAAAGUAAAUGAGUAAAUGAAUAACUACAUCCUAAAAAGACACUAGUGCUUGGUAGCAUGAAAGAUGAAGUUUGAGAAAAUGAAGUGUGGAAGGAGAAAGACGAGAAAGUGGUAUACAUAGAGGUUGGGCCUAUGGAGGCCCAAAUAUUGUGACUAUUCCCAAACAUUGGAUCAUGUGAGAUCAAUGGUCUAGAAAAAUAGUGUCACUUCAUUUCUGAAACUUAUAACUAUCAUGAUUCUACCUGCAAAAUGAAGCAACUCAUCCUAACAUGCUUCCAGAUACAACACAUGAGAUAUCUAGAGAAAAUCAAACACCUUUGACUACAACAUUCAUGAGAAGGGAUGAAAACCUUUUGGCAUAAGACAAUUAUGUCAAGAUUCUGCAUUUUUUUAAGAACUUAUUGGCUAAGGGAGCAAGGUACCAUAUGGACGAAUACCCUUUGAUGAAUGAUUGGUCCUACAAAAGACCAGAUGGUCAUUAGUACCCGCUAAUACAUAACACACUCUAAAAUACUAGAGAAAAGAAUAUGCUUUGUAUGAUAUUGGCUAAUAGUAAUCUGAUUUGUCCCCUUAAUGAAUUGAGGCUUAGUAGGGGGCAUGUGUAUCGUAUGGACGAAUACCCUUCGAUCAUAUUGAAGACUGAGUGGACCUUUAUCCCUCUAUAAGGCUGAAUAGACGUAAACUUUCUUAAUACAUAUAUACUUGUCAUUUUUGUGAAGAUUAAAGAAUAUAGUCUAUCUUAACGUAAUCCAAUCAUUAUCAAGGACUUACUACCAUGUAAUUUCAGAUUAACAUUCCCUUAAUUAAAAAGGCAAUGCCCAUGGACCAUAUGACCCAUAAAUACGUGUACUAAAGGGUUAGAUUUUCAAGAUAUCCCACACUAUAACAAAAUAUGCAUUCAACAUCCCCAAUUUAACAUCGGUCACAAGAAAUAUAGAUGUUAAAUUAUACGCAGUGAUAUUUCCUUAAAUACUUGGAGCUUCUUAACAUCGAUUUUUGAAAACCGAUGUUACUACCAGAAACUUCACAUCGGUUUUUUGAAAACUGAUGUUGUUAGUACAAUGUUAACAUCAUUUUUUUUAUAAAAAAAAAUCAAUGUUGUUAGUAAUUAGUUAACAUCGGUUUUUGAAAAUCGAUUUGUCAAAUGAGUAGAUAACAUCGAUUUUUAAAUAAAAUUGAUGUUAGUUAUUUUUUUACUAUUUCUAAACCUAUGGCGCUGACUCACUUUGAAACCGUCUCAUCCUCUCUAACCAUCGCUAUUUCGUUGUUUCCACUCUCGUAUUCAUAGACACUUGCGUAAUACUAAAAAAAAUAGCAAUAUUGACUAACUAUGGCUUUCAGAAACAACAAUUAGAAUUUCAUUGUACCAAUAUAAAUAGCAAGAAAUGAAAUAAACAUAAAGUUCGAGAGAAAAAGAACAAGAAACUCUUUUUGGGAAAUUUUUAUGAACACUUGGAGUGCGAUAAAAAGAAGUAAAAUAACAAAGAAUAAAAGAGUUAGGGUUGAUUUCACUAAACCACCUCCUCAUGCUAAAAAAGAUCACUAAUCUAGUUCAAAGCACAAUUAUAAUAAUCAACUCACAAAAAUACUCAAACCCCGAUCGCUCGGAUGGAAAGAAUCUAAGCCCCUUGACCAAACUACCAAUCCCUUGACUAAUCUACCCAAAUGACUUGCUUUAAAAACAAAAGUUAAAAGAUGACUAACAAGCUUUGUUCUAUCUCUAGACACAAAAUGCAUUAGGUGUUCCUCUAUAUUUCUAAAUUCCAAAGCAUUUUCCACUAACAAUUCAAACCACAACAUCAAGAAAAGGGUGGUCAAGCCAAAGCAAACAUUAAUGCAUAGAGGAAAGCACAUAAUAAUGAACAAUAAACAUACAUUAAUAAUCAAAAUGUAAGCAUCAGGAUGGAUUCAACUACAUCAACCUCUAAAAUGGGUAAACCUAACUACAAGAAGAAAAUAGAUGAUGAGAAAUGGUAGGGAAGCCAUGGAGGGAAAGGGAGAGCUUUGCACCUGCUACCUCAAACCCUAGAUAGUCCCCCAACCAGUUAUCUACCUUCUAUUUGCAUCCUUGGAGCUUAAAUAGGGUCAAAUGCGUUGCACUGUUGUUUCUGCAUAAGUUCCUGCACGGUUAGCCUAGCAUGUCGCACUAAGCUUGUAUGUAAAAUAGAAUUGUUGUAAGUGAUUGCGCACUGAGCAUGAGGUAUAUCAAGAUCUGGAGUUUCUCGACGAUCGGAGAAAUGCUUGAGUGAUUUAGAAGUCAUACUUAAGACCCAAUGCAAAUCUGAUGGUAGUAAGGUGGGAACCUCCUCCUCUAAGGACAUUAAAAUGCAAUAUUGAUGCUGCUUUUGUCAAAUAAGAAAAUUCUUUUAAGUUGGUUGUUGUAUCACGGAUGAUAGAGGUCACUUUGUCAUGGCUUUAUCUGACACUUCCCUGUUUAAACCCAUGAAAGGAAGGCCCUAGCCAUGUUGGUAGCCUUCUAAUGGCUCAAAGAUUUGGGAUUGAUGAUUUCAUUAUUGAAUCCGAGCCUUCAUGUUAGCAUAUUAUACACAUAUUAUCUUAAUUUUAAUUAUGUCCAUUUAAUUUUAAUUAUAUAUAUAUAUAUAUAUAUAACUAAUUAUAAUAGAAAAUUGAGUGUACAUAGACAUUAAAAUCCAUUUUGGUUAUUACACCCUCAAAAUCAAUUUUCAUUCAAAGAAUCUAAACAAUAUUUUCUUAAAAAAAUAUUUUUUCUGUUAUCUGACAUGAAAAGAUGAUUUAAGAAUGUCUAAAUCAUGAUUUUAACUCAUUAUCAUUGAUUAUUGAUAAAUAAUAGUUGAUAAAUUUUAAUUUUCACACUUUAAUUGUAAUUUCAUAUCAAUUAAAUCUCUUUUAAAUACAAUUAGUUCAAUUAACUAAAAUCUCAAUGUUGAAUGAUAAAUAUUUCAAUCAUCAUAUUAAAUGAUUUAAAUACAUUUUUAUUUUUGUAAGUUUGUAUUUUCUUUAAAUUUUGAUCUUUGUGAAAAUAUUAUUCAUAUUUAGUUUUGGUAAGUAUGUGUUUUUUCCAUUUUUAUCCUUGUAAAUUUUAAUAUUUAUUUUUAGUCCCUGUAAAUUUGUAUUUUUCCAAUAUGAUUUUGGGCAUUGUAAUUAAGCAUGAACUUAUGCAGAUUUUUUUUUAGUUUGAAUUCAACCCGAGUCCGACAACAAGGGCCGCAAAGUCGGUUUGAAUUAAACAAACUAUGUAUUGAUUCAAAAUUAACCGAAAAGUACAAGGCGAUCGCUAGGAUCCAGCCACCAAAAAGGACAAACGCAAACCAGAGAAAAAUUAACCCAUCAUAAGAUUAGCUAUGUGAUCUCUAAGAUACCCACUAUACCAACCUCUGUAAACUAUCAUAUCUAUAAUAUUAUCCGCUAUUUUUGUAUUAUCAACAGUAUUACCGAAACUCUUAUCGUUACGGUAUCUCCAGAUUCCAUAUAAAGUUUCAGCAGCGGCUAGUUUCAAAAUUGCAUGUCUCUUUCCCUUCCCUUUUGUGGAUGAAAUUAACCACUCUAACUCAUCAUUCCACUCACGCGGUACUCUCUUAAUUUGAACCCAAUCAAGAACUUUAGUCCAAAUAAUUUUAAGCUCCGGGCAGCCAUAAAACAAGUGAUUAAUAGAUUCUUCAGCAGGACAAAAGCAACACUUACUAUCUUCAAUCAUACCAAAUUUUUUCAGACGGUUUUUGGUGGCUAACCGCCCAUGACAAGCAAGCCAUAGAGUCAUCAGAGCUCUAGGCCUCGCUGUAUUCCCCCGAAACAGAUUACGCCAGCGCACUUUUGAAGUGUUGGUGCAAAGACUUUUAUAAACCUCCUUCAUACCAAAUCGAUUUUUCUCUAGCAUGCUGUCCCAUAUAGAUUGGAUAUCCAAAAUGCUACUACGAUGCUUCAGGAUACUUUUCAUAAUCCAAGAGUUGUGAAUCUUUACACUCACAUUCAUCAGUGUGUCCUUAUUCAAGUAGUAGGCAUUUACCCACUUCACCCAAAGACUAUCAGAUUUGCCACUAAGAUUCCAAAGGAGUUUCAGCAUAGUUACCUUAUUCCAAACCGAAAGGUCAAUGAUGUUUAACCCUCCAUAAUCCUUCGGUUUACACACAGAGUCCCAAGCAACUGGACUUUUUCUCUUUAGCUCUUGCCCUCCUGUCCAGAGGAAAGAUCUGCAAAUAGCUUCAAUUUUGUGAACAACAUACUUCGGGAUAGGAAAGCAUUGCAUCCAGUAAUUUGCAAUAGCAAACGUCACACUCCUUAUAAGCUGAACACGGCCUGCAUAAGUCAAAAGAUUAGUGCUCCAGUGAUUGAUUCUCCCCACUAUCUUAUCCACUAAAGGCAUAUAGUGGUGAAUAGAAAGUUUUUUACUAGUGAGCGGGACCCCCAAGUAACGGAAAGGAAGAGGGCCUUCAGUAAAACCAGUAAGAUUGAGAAUAUUCCUCUUGCUAUCGUCCCCCACACCACCAAAGUAAAUCUUACAUUUACUAGGAUUAGCAAUAAGACCAGUGGACUCAGAAAAAUUCUUGAAAGCCUUCACCAUAAGAUCCACAGAUAUUGGAUCACCUCUCGAAAAAAGAAGUAAAUCAUCUGCAAAAGCCAGAUUAGUAAUACUAAGCUUUUCACAUUUAGCAUGAUGGUUAAAAUUAGGAUUCUUCUGCAUGUCAUACAUAAUUCUAUUCAGAUAUUCCAUAACAAUAACAAAAAGGAGGGGGGACAUGGGGUCUCCCUGACGGAGUCCACGCUUAGCCUGCAAAAGGUUAGAGUGACAACCAUUGAUAUUGAAACGGUAAGAAACAGUGGUCACAGCUAUCAUGAUCCAUCUGAUAAAUUGUUGAGGCACACCAAUCUCUUUAAGAAUACAUUCCAGUGCAUCCCAGUUAACCAUAUCAUAAGCUUUCUGGAGGUCUAUUUGCAUCAUACAGCGGGGAGUCCCACCUUUCCGAGAGUAACCCUUAAUCAGCUCGUAAGCAAGUAGAAUGUGAUUAUGAAUUUUUUGGCCGGGGACAAAAGCAGCUUGGUUCUUACCAACGAUACUAUCCAUCACCCUACCCAUUCUAGUGGUAAUAAUUUUAGAAAUUAUUUUAUAUACUGUAGUGCACCCGGCAAUAGGUCGAUAUUCCUUAAUAGUUUUGGCUUCCUCAUUUUUUGGAAUGAGAGUUACCAAAGUACAAUUGAAAGCCUUGUAGAUCCGAUCAUUCUCAAAGAAAUCUCUAACAGCAGCCACCACAUCUUUCCCUAUAAUAUUCCAGCUGGUUUUGAAAAAUUUUGCUCCAAAACCGUCUAUUCCCGGGCUUUUUGUGUCACCAAUGCCAUUCAACGCUUUACGGAUUUCUUGGUCGGUAAUGGGGGCUACAAGCUGUUCCCUCUGUUCCAUACUAAGUUGAGGCCCCCCUCUCAUGGCCAUAAUAUUAAUAUGACGCACAUUACCAUCUUUUGUCCCCAUUAAACCCUCAUAGAAAUUUAAGACUUCGUCCUGAAUUUCGUCAUGAGAUGUAAUAACCGUACCAUCAUCCUUAUGCAGCAAAUUCAGCCUUUUGGAACUCUUUUUAGCUUUUAUGGUAGCAUGGAAAUAUGAGUUAUUUCCAUCACCCAAUCGAAGCCAAUCAAUUUUGGAUUUUUGUUGUAAUGUUUUCUCUUCCAGGGAAUUCCAAUUGAUAACCUCCUCUGUAUACCGCUUAACAGUAUCAAUUUUACUGCUAUUCCAUCUAUCUUCUACAAGGCUUUUUUGGGCAUGUUGCAGAUUUUGUCUAGCCUCCAUUAUUCUAGACUGGAUAUGAUGCAGAGGCCUGUUGAUUUUAUUCAAAGCAGGUUUGAGCCGUUUGAGCUUCUCCCAAAGCACAUACAUCGGUCUACCAUUCAGUGGUUCGUUCCAACUAUUACUAACAGUGCUAUGAUAUUCCUCCAAAUCUGUCAAACAGUUUGAGAAUUUAAAAUGAAAUUGCCGACCUGCAGUAUUCCCUGGAUCAGCCAAACAAAGUAAAGCGUGCUCCGAUACGCUCGGAGGCAGGAUUUGGAGCAUUGUGUCCAUGUUGUCUUGGAACCAUUCCACAUUCCCCACCACCCUAUCGAUUCUAGAAUAGAUCAUACCAUCAGUUUGCUUAUUCGACCAAGUAUAGUAGUCACCCGUGCUAUCCUUUUCAAAAGUUCCCGUAUUUCGCAUCAUUUUUGUCAAGUCUUCAUAUUCUGACUCGGUGACCAAAUUACCACCCAUUCUAUCUUUAGCUUUCAAAACGUUAUUAAAGUCACCAAGCAAGACCCAAGGACCAUGUUGAUUGCCAUGAAUACAUUCGAUAUCAGUCCACAAAGUUCUACGCUGAUCCAGCUUAUUAAGGGCAUAGAUCGCUGUGAUCCAAUAAAGAAAAUUACCUGUCAGAUCAUAAACGCCACAAUGGAGCAAUUGACUUGUCUCCCUAAUAUACUUUAUGGUAACCUUGUUAGUAUCCCAAUUUAACCAGAUUCUGCCGUUGGAAUGGCUAGAAUAAUUGUCCAAAAACUCACCUUGCAACCUGACUUUAUUUCGAAUAUUGCGAGCCUUAACUUGUUUUACCCUUGUCUCAAUUAAGAUCGUGAUCGUAGGCCGAAGCUCUAGAAGACGGGAGCCUAUCUCCUUUAGCUUACCUACAUUAUUAAGCCCCCUAACAUUCCGGCUAAUUAUCAUGCAGAUUACAAAUGAAUAAAUUAGAAUCUUAAAGGGACUAAAAUCGAAAAAACAUAAACUUACAAUACAAGGAUUAAAAAUAAACAAAAAACUUACAGGAAUUAAAAUUUUGAAAACAACUUUCGGGGACUAAAAUUAAAAAAAUACAUUCAAAAGGAUAAAAAAUAAAUAAAAAAGACUAAUUUACAAGUACCAAAAACAUAUUUAAAUCUAUUGAGAUUAUAUAAUAUUUUGGAAGAUUGCAAGUAUAUUAGUUUUUAAUACAUUUCUUAUUCGAAUUUUACUAAACGUGAAUUAGAAUUUAUUAUUUUAUUUUAAGAGAAUUAUAAUUAUCGGUAAAUUGAGGGGGGAUAAAACAUAGAGAGAGAUCUUCACUAAUGGGUGGUUACACACUCAUCCCAUAAGUAAACUUGACACUAAUAUUAUCAAACUUGAUCGGGAGUUUACAUAAACUCGUCAAAGUUCUAAAGACUCGACUCGUAGAUCCAUAGAAGUCUACUUCAUAUAAAAAUAAUAACAAAAUACAUAUAAAUUAUAUUAAAUAGCAUAUCAAUUAAACAUUUAAAAAACUUGCUCAACCUGGGCUGGGUCACCGAUCUUAAGAAAACUCAAUCAGGUCAACUUUGGUGGAUUCAUAUACAUUAUUAUGUGUAAAGUUUCCUGUAUGUAAGAUUCAAUUACCUAAUUCAUCAAAAUUAACGAAAAUGAUUAAUUUAGCUGAAAACAUAUGUUAUUGAUACAUAUAUAUAAUAAUCAAGAGCAAAUGAAGCACAAAGACAUAUAAUAUAUUUUAUUGAUGAGACAAAGAUGCACGUAGGCAUUAACACAGCACAAAUAUGCAUGCCAUGCAUUGUUUUUUCAAAUGCACGCACAACAUAUAUAGAUAUAGGCAGAAGGAACACACACAUACAAUUAAUAGAUAUAGCAUGGGUCUUAUUCCAUAUAUAGAAUGGCUAGAGCCAUGAAUGCAUAGAUAGAACUUAAUAAUUAUGGAUCUUCAAUUAAGGAUAUUUUCCAGGAUCGGAGACGGCCAAAGACAGGAGUUUAGGGAUCCACGUUGGGGGAAUGAAGGCAUAGGUGUCACUAAGAACCUUGACAGAUGCGCCCUUAACCCUAGGCCAAGAAUGCACUAGGCGAUUGAGAGCAAGAAAGAAGAGGGGUGGUGAAACUUUAUUCCAAUCCUCCUUAAUGGCGCUGUAGCCAAGCAAGAUCUUAGAGUCAUAAUAAUCAUACUCUUCCACUAUCUUCUCAACCUGGCGCACCAAGAUUUCAACUGAUCUGUUAGGAUCUUUAGGUUCGAAAUCAACGAAGCACUGAAACACAACAGUUCCAAUCCAAGAAGUAUCAAUAGAUCGGUACAAGGGCAAGUAGAAAGCUUCAUUGGUGGCAGCAUCUGGAGCUAAGGAAGCCUCAAACCCAGUGGUGCAUAGAGCUUCCCUUAGGCCCCUUAUGAGAUCCUUAAAGCAGUUAACAAACAAUUUUUUGUUGCACAGGAUUGUGGUGUAGUUAACAUCGAUUCCAUCGAUGUGGUACUCGUUGAUCAUGUGGUGGAGUGUGGUUGUGGCAUUGAGAACCCAAUCAUCGGCACCACCAGCAGCAACUUUGAAGGGGUCAUCUCCUCCGAUGCUGACAAACACUUUGACUGGCAGAUUCGAGGCAGCACAAUUUAGCUUGAACUGCUCGAUAAGGUGGGGAGUGACAUUGUCUGUGUCCCACUUAGGUUCGAAGUUUCCUUUACCAGAUUCUCCGGCAUAUGCCAGACACAGUUGGUACUCGGUAACAUCAGUAAAGAUGUCACACCUUGACAUAAAGGAAGCAUCAUGAUGGUAUUCACGGAUCACUUUAUUGUUGGAGUCGCAGGUUUCUGCCAUUAUAUUUUAUAUGGGCUGUUGCUACUGCUAUUGCUAUUGCUUUUCUUUUGUGGCUUUGGUUGGUGUGAUUAUAUCGGACACCACUCCUUCCUCUUAUAUAGAUGAUUGGAUCAAAUUUUUAAAUAUCUGUUAAAUCAUACUACAAUAUUUCUAGUUAAUUAUUGUUUUAUGUGUGUGAACAUGUAACUAACCUUCUUUGGAUAAACAUUUUAAUUAAUCAAAGUCUUCUUAAUUAAAUCAUCUUAUUCAGGUCUUACUAUAUUAAAUACAUGGGAUCCACAAGUUAUGGAUCGAUGUUUAUGAAGAAACAACUUUUAUAUACAUGGGAUCCAAAGUGACAUAUAUGCCUUUGUUUUCACAUUGCGCAAACAAAGUGACGUAUGCCUUUGUUGCAUACUUGAAUAAAAUGCAUAGAGACAAUUGGUGUAAUUAUUUCUAGAGGUACGAGGCAAAUUGGACAGCGCAUAGGCUAGAAUGUGAAAAUUUGAUGUUUAUGAAGAAACAACUUUUAGAGGAUGCAGGGAACACAUAGUCGGUUUUGAAAAUUAUACAAAUACACUGUGUUCUAUUUCUCUUUAUCAAUCUUAGAUCUAUUUGCAUUAUAAAUACUUUUUUUAUUCUUAUGAUUGUAUUGGUCUAGUUUGUUGCACAAUAAUGGGUAUAAUUUGGAUUAGAGAUAAACAUAAGCAUGGGAAUGGAGAUCACGUUUGUUAAUUUUUUUUCCCCAGUUGUUAUUGCGUGGUACUUAGUUAAAUUGUGAAAGUGAGAAUGAUUGAGAAAGAAUACAUGGAAUAUGAUAUGAAGAGUUUAAAGAAACUCUCAAUAUCAAUUUAUUCAAUUAUUUUUAAGAACAUUAAUAUAUGGUGGCUUUUUAUCUUUUGUUACUAAUCACAAAAAUAAGAGAUAAAAAAAAGUAUAGUAUUAUUUAUGAAAUUGAGUGAACUCAUACAAUUUGUAAACAUAUGGGCUAAAACACGGGUAAAUAACACCGCUAAUAACAAUUUUUUUAAUUUUAUAUUUGACAUAUCUAUUAUCUAUUAUCUUCUAUAAAUAAUUUUAAAAAAUUUAUGUUGUUAGUAAUUUUGGAAACCAAUUUAUCAAAUAACUAGAUAACAAUGGUUUUUUAAAUAAACUUGAUGUUAGUUCUUUUUUAAUAUUUCUAAACCUCUGGCACUAACUCACUUUGAAACCCUCUCAUUAUCUCGAACUUUCACUCUUUCGUUGUUGUCACUCGUAUUCUCAGGGACUCACGUAAUACUCAAAAAAAUAACAAUAUUCACUAACUAUGGCUUUCAGAAACAACAAUUAUAAUUUGAUUGUAACAAUAUAAAUACCAAUAAAUGAAACAAACAUAAAAUUCAAGAGCAAAAUAACAAGAAAAUAUUUUAGCUCAAUUUUAUUGACACAAGUUUUAGCUCAUGUUUGCAAUCUAUAUGAGUUUGCUCAAUUUCAUAAAUAAUACUAUAGUUUUUUAUAUUUCUUAUUGUUCUGAUUAGUAACAAAAGAAAAAAAACUAUAUAUUAAGGUUCUUCAAAAUAAAUUGAAUAAGUGAAUAUUGAGAAUUUCUUUAAACUCUUCGCAUUAUAUUUUCUGUAUUCUUUCUUAAACAUUCUCACUUUCACAAUUUAAGUACCACACAAAAAAUUGGAGAAAAAAACAAACUUGAACCAUGCAUAUGCUUAUCUCUAAUUAACCCAAAUUAUGCCAAUUAAUUAUUGUGCUGCAAACUAGACCAAAGCCGGCUUUAUGAACCAUCAAAUUUUCAGCCAAAGAAAAAUUAAAGUUGACCAUCAAAUUUUCACAUUCUAGCCUAUGCGCUGUCCAAUUUGCCUCGUACCUCUAGAAAUAAUUGCACCAAUUGUCUCUAUGCAUUUUAUUUAAGUAUGCAACAAAGGCAUACGUCACUUUGUUUAUGUAAAACCUUAUUCAUAGGAGUCUCUAUGGGAAUGAAUAAUUCAUGUACUUGAACUGAUAAAAAACUUUUAAUAUGAAUUUUGUUGCUAUUUCGGUGGAAGCCAAAACUAUAUUUGAAAUAAAUAAGAAAAUGUUAACCGUUAUUUAAUUUUAAAAAGUUUUAGGUAUUAAUUUGAUAAAAUAAAAAAUAUUUCUUAAAUGUUAAUUUUAGAAAGAAUAGUCUAAACGAACACUUUCGUUCUUUAGUCAUGUAGAUUAAUUCACCUCAAUAAUAACUCACAAAUUUAUUUUAUGGAUUUCAUACAUAAAUUAAAACUUUGGAAGAAAAUUUUUUUAUGUGCCAAUGAUAAUUGAUAUGCAGGACUAGAACGAUUAAUUAGUGUUAUGAACCAUCAAAUUUUCAGCCAAAGAAAAAUUAAAGUUGACCAUCAAAUUUUCACAUUCUAGCCUAUGCGCUGUCCAAUUUGCCUCGUACCUCUAGAAAUAAUUGCACCAAUUGUCUCUAUGCAUUUUAUUCAAGUAUGCAACAAAGGCAUACGUCACUUUGUUUGCGCAAUGUGAAAACAAAGGCAUAUAUGUCACUUUGGAUCCCAUGUAUAUAAAAGUUGUUUCUUCAUAAACAUCGAUCCAUAACUUGUGGAUCCCAUGUAUUUAAUAUAGUAAGACCUGAAUAAGAUGAUUUAAUUAAGAAGACUUUGAUUAAUUAAAAUGUUUAUCCAAAGAAGGUUAGUUACAUGUUCACACACAUAAAACAAUAAUUAACUAGAAAUAUUGUAGUAUGAUUUAACAGAUAUUUAAAAAUUUGAUCCAAUCAUCUAUAUAAGAGGAAGGAGUGGUGUCCGAUAUAAUCACACCAACCAAAGCCACAAAAGAAAAGCAAUAGCAAUAGCAGUAGCAACAGCCCAUAUAAAAUAUAAUGGCAGAAACCUGCGACUCCAACAAUAAAGUGAUCCGUGAAUACCAUCAUGAUGCUUCCUUUAUGUCAAGGUGUGACAUCUUUACUGAUGUUACCGAGUACCAACUGUGUCUGGCAUAUGCCGGAGAAUCUGGUAAAGGAAACUUCGAACCUAAGUGGGACACAGACAAUGUCACUCCCCACCUUAUCGAGCAGUUCAAGCUAAAUUGUGCUGCCUCGAAUCUGCCAGUCAAAGUGUUUGUCAGCAUCGGAGGAGAUGACCCCUUCAAAGUUGCUGCUGGUGGUGCCGAUGAUUGGGUUCUCAAUGCCACAACCACACUCCACCACAUGAUCAACGAGUACCACAUCGAUGGAAUCGAUGUUAACUACACCACAAUCCUGUGCAACAAAAAAUUGUUUGUUAACUGCUUUAAGGAUCUCAUAAGGGGCCUAAGGGAAGCUCUAUGCACCACUGGGUUUGAGGCUUCCUUAGCUCCAGAUGCUGCCACCAAUGAAGCUUUCUACUUGCCCUUGUACCGAUCUAUUGAUACUUCUUGGAUUGGAACUGUUGUGUUUCAGUGCUUCGUUGAUUUCGAACCUAAAGAUCCUAACAGAUCAGUUGAAAUCUUGGUGCGCCAGGUUGAGAAGAUAGUGGAAGAGUAUGAUUAUUAUGACUCUAAGAUCUUGCUUGGCUACAGCGCCAUUAAGGAGGAUUGGAAUAAAGUUUCACCACCCCUCUUCUUUCUUGCUCUCAAUCGCCUAGUGCAUUCUUGGCCUAGGGUUAAGGGCGCAUCUGUCAAGGUUCUUAGUGACACCUAUGCCUUCAUUCCCCCAACGUGGAUCCCUAAACUCCUGUCUUUGGCCGUCUCCGAUCCUGGAAAAUAUCCUUAAUUGAAGAUCCAUAAUUAUUAAG
rnacentral:lncRNA from 1 species